rnacentral:lncRNA from 1 species
GAAAAAAGAAUUGUCACAAAAGGUUAAAAUUCGUGUAACAGGAAAAGAAAAUUUUGUUGGAUAACACUUUUGCCACAAUUAUUUGUUGUAUACAUAAAAUAAUCUAUUUAAUUUAUUAAAAUAAAGUUAAUUUUAAAUGAAAAGUGUAUGAAAGAUUUUUCCCCAAUUCUAAAAUGUUUAAAGCCAACAUUUUUUCCAACCCUCACGCGAAGAAGGGCAUCUCCAAUCCGACCAUCAAUCUGUGCCCGUCACCACCACUGCUCCCUCGUGCCUGUCUCUUCACUCCAGUGCCGCUGCAACCUCCUCUACCAGACGAUCACGACAUCUCCUCUGCUGCAACCUCUUCAAUCCAUGACUGUCAUCUCCAAUCCGCCGCGACCUCUUCAAUCUGUGCCCGUCACCUCAGUCUUAUGUUCCUUCUUUCUUUCUCUCUCUCUGUGACGUUCUCUCUUACUCUUUUCCACAACUCCAUGAGCGAAACUAGGUAUGAAAUUUGCAAUUGUCGUCUGAGCUUUUCUGGGGCAAACACCCCUAGAUGAUAUAUAUCAAAUAAAAGUUCGAUGUACUUAUGUUUGCAAUUUAUGUUCUGAUUUAUCUUUAACUUAAAUUAGAUCGAAAAAAAUAUUUAAGAGUUGAAGCUGAAAGAGAGUAAGAGAAAAAGGUAGAAGGUCCUGAAAAUCUCGUUCAUGUGUUUAGGUUUAUGAGAUGUUUAGGGUUUAGGAAAUUUGAGUUUAUGAUAUAUUUUAGGGAUUUUGGCUUUAAAGACUAUGAAUGGAGUAUAUAUAUACCUUCUCUGCUGUGUAUUUUUUCAAUUGAAGACUUUGGCUUUAGUGUUUUGUUUGAAGAGUUUCAUUUUGAGGUGAAUGAACGUGUAUUGGUGAAUAUAAUUCAGAAUCAUUAAUAUUGUUGGUCUUAAAGUUGUACUUGUGAUCGUUGUUGAAGUAUGAGGUUUAUGAGAAGAUUGUAACUUUAAUCGUUGUUGAAGUAUGAGGUUCAUGAGAAGAUUGUUCUUUGGUGUUGAGGGGAGCAUAAUAUUUCAUCAUUAGUUGAGAAAGAGUUCUCUGACUCCAAUUUAGGAGGAACCUAAAUGAAGUGUCUUGGGAAUGAUCAUUCUGAGAUAGUUAAAAUUACACUUUUUUUUUCUAAUUGUCAAAGUUAUUUUCCUUGAGAUGACGGAGUUUGACAUAAACUUAAAUUGAUUUAAAUUUUUUCUAAAAUCAUUUCAAGUUGAUUAUGAAUACUAGUUGAAGUGAUGACCGAUAAUAUAGUAAAUAGUGAGUAAAAAAAUUGUUAUUAUAAUUACUGUUUUAGUUUAAAAUAAUAGUAAGAAUCAAUUAGGUAAAUAAUUGAGAAUAUAUUUAAAAGAAAGAACAAUACUUUAAAUGGAAAUUGAGAAUAUAUUUAAAACGAAAAAUAUUAAUUUAUUCAACUGUAACGAUUACUUAAAAAAGUUGAAAAUUUCACAUCGUAUUUAAAGAAAGUAAGAAAAAUUAUUUUACGAGAACUAGGAUAAACUGGUAAAUUAAAUAUACGAAAUUUGUGUAUUAGAGAUAGAAUAUGAAUUUGAAAGAAAAAUAAUAAUUUAUUCGUACAUAACAAUUACGUAAGAAAACGUUGAAAAUGAGCGUCACAUUUUAAAAAAAUUAUGAAAGUUGUUUUACGAAAAUAAGAUAAUUUAGUAAAUUAAUUAUAAGAAAUUUGUGUAUUAGAUUUGAAUACGAAUUAAAAAAAUAUAAAAAAAAAUAACACUAACUACAUGACAUUUCCCUCCAACCCAUAUUAUCAUAAUACUACAUACCACAAUUAUUUUUCCAAAGACAUACCAUGAUAACACUAGUUAACUAUUUCAUAACGCAGCCCUUUCCCUAAACGGCUCCUACUUCUUAAUCAAGGACUUGCGAUUCUCUUCCCUUUUAGUAAUUUUUAAGAUAGCAAAAUUGCAUCUAAAUUUUUGUGUAUGAUUUUUGGAUGUGUGUGGGAGGAACGGUAGAAAUUGGACUAUAUAUAAAGGAUACAAUAUAUUGAUAUGCUUAGUUCCCUUCCUCACCUAUUUUGAAUGUGUCAAAUAAAUACUUGCAAUUAAUAAUUAGGAAGCAUCUUUUAAGGUUACACAAUUCUAACUCAUUUUAAUUGAGAAUAUUUUCAGUGUAUCUAAUGAUUCGAAGAAUAGAACAGAAAGUUACAUUUGGUUGGAACAAUAUCAAAUUUUGAAGUUGUAUCGUGGGCGCCUAUUGUGCUAUUUUUAUAUUAUAAUUUUAAAUCUCUACUCAUCUACAACAUGACCGCAUAGCGCAGUGGAUUAGCGCGUUUGACUUCGGAUCAAAAGGUCGUGGGUUCGACUCCCACUGUGGUCGAUUUAAUUUUUUGCUUUAUAAAUUAUGGGAUUUAAUAUAAUUAUGUUUUUUAAAAAAAAGAAAGAAAUAAAGAAAAGCACUUAUUUUUAAUUUAAUUUUGUAAAGCAAUGGAGAUGAGGUAGAAUCUCAUUCCCAAUCUAAAAGCAAAUAUAGCAUUUGAGAGAAUAAAGCAGAGAGACCUCCAACAUAUUUCCAAUCAACACACAUCUCCUACUUACCAUUCAAACUGAAAUCUUUGAAUUUCCCAAGUCAUUCAAACCUCAAAAGUCUAUACCAUAAUACAAUAAUAAUGUAAUUCCUGGACUUGUUUAAUAACAAGCAGUCUUCAAGCACAAUUCUUCUUUUUUUUUUCUUUUUUUUUUUAUUCAAGUCAACAAAAGCCUUUGAGAUACAACAUCAAAAUGAUCUCCAACAUUAACAAAGAUGGAUCAAAAUCUUCAAUAAACAAGCAAAAACAGAUAUAAUAUCAUAUCUAUAUUCUGCCCAAAGAAGAGGGGAAACCAAAAGCUCUCAUCUUUAUACUCCAACACUCACCAAUACCAUGAAAGCAGAAAAUCGGAAAAAGAAAAAAAAAACUGUAAACUCCGCGCGAUCAUCCAUGGCCAAGUGGGAGGGUUUGAAAAGAAACUAUAACCAAAAGCUCUCCUCUUCUUGUUGUGUCAUCUCACCAAACACGCCAAGUGGGAGGGUUUGAAAAGAAACUAUAACUCACUGUCAUAAAGCAAAUGGGAGUCCCAUGAUGAAGAGAUCUUCCUCAUGGUAGCUCGACCCUGCAGAGCUUUCACUAUCAUCUUUGGAAGUUUUGUUCAAUUUAUGUUCUCCAAAAAUCUCCUCAGAGCUGCACUGUGAACUACAAAAAGCUUUUCCAUCCCUGAUAUAGUAAAAGGAACAAUCACAUAAGCAAAAGAUAAAGUUUGGAGUUGGAGUUCAUAAGUUACAGAAAUUCUUACAAAUCAGCCAAACAAACAAACCUGCAUAAAUAAAUAUCAUGCUCUUCUUUCAAAACUUUCUUGCAUGAGUAACAGAUUUGCAAAUUUGCAUCCACAACUCCGUGAUCAAACCCUUCAGGGCAACUUCCCAACGGAGAUGAUUCGAUCCCAGGCUCUUCAAUCGUACUGGAACCAAUGUUUUCAUCUGUGUGACAUUCCAAAAUACAGUCACCAAAAAUGUGUGUUGUCUUUGGGUUUGGACCAUGAGAAAUUAUGCAGGUAUAGUCCUCGGAAAGUUCUAUUUCUCUAGCAGUAAGUGAGCCUACAUAAGCAUUGCUUGAGCCAAUAGUUAUAGGCAAGGAACAGGAUUUGAUUGGCAAAGAAUUUUCCCUUUGAGGGCUAUUGUUAAUCAUUGGAAAGAUGGUGUUAUUACUUUCCAGUGGAAAAUUUUCAGUACUUGGAUCAGAAUUUUGAGUCAAGUCGAUACCAGAGGAGGAAAAGCUGGCAGCAUUUGACAAAAAUGAUGCAUUAUUUUCAAAGGGUGGUUCAGAUUCUAAAGCAGAAAAUUCUCCAUUGCCACAGAUAUUAUCUAUGGCUCCGGAAUUGGAGCUUGGAAUUUUGGCUUUGGAAAGUGACGAGAUUGUAUAAUUGCUAGGCAAAGAAUAAGAUUUCAAAGAAGAACCCAAAUAUUUGAUAUAAUGGUUCGAGGAUUUAGAGAUCUUAGUUUUAAUUUGUGGUCCAAAAAUUACAUUCUUCCUCCAGUUUGAGUCCCGAGGUUCACUGGUAGUUCCACAGUCAUCAACAACAAUAGAAUUUAUGAUGCCAAGACCGACUUCACUAGAAACAAACUUAUUUUGACGACCACUUUCAGUUUCAGCAGAUGAUAUGGAUUUAAAACCAAAAGGGUUGCUUAGAUUGGAAAAUAGCCUGAAAUCCAAAGGCGAAGUAGGACUUCUAAGCGAAUCACUGUCUACUGAACUUUUUUGACCCUAACCCGGCAAAAAAUCCAGGAAUACUGAACAACGAACUGCUUAUAUGUUUCCCCAAUGAGCCAGAUUGUAAGUAGGAGUCUGAAUCAGACUGAGCCAUCAAACAACCAUCAAAUACUCUCUCUUUUCUACAAGAACUACUAAGCCUUGUCCAGAACCAUUACUAUUUCUCUCUAAAACAACAACCAAGAUUUGCUCACUGCAUCAAGUAACUGCCAAAAAAAUUAGAAAUUACAAUCUUCUUGGAGCAGCAAGGAUUAACAUGAGAAAUAUCAAGAACAAAAACGAAGGGAAGUUUACUUUGGUCUUUAAAAAUCAAAACAAUUCAAAAGUAAGUUUUCGAAUCUUAUUUUGGUCUUCAACAUUCAUACAUAUCUGAUUUUACAUUUUCCAACAUUUCAACUUAUAAAACUCCAACUUCACAUAAAAAAAUCUUAUUUUCGUCUUUGCCCAACAUAUCCCAAUCAUACAUUCAACAAAAAUCUGAUGUAGUACCACAUAAAACUUAUAUUUUAAACCACAAAUAUCAUAUAAUUGGUAGCAGUAAAUCCAGAAAUAGAAGCCUAAGAAUUUAACAAAAAUAGAUUUUUAUGAAGAUUAACCAGAACAGAAGUUUAAAUAAGAACUGCAAUCAAACUCAAAAGAAGUAUUAAAUACAUUCCACAAAAAAGUUUUGUUAAAUUCCAAUGAAAAUCAAAUUUCUGAAGAAAUCCCUAAGUACCCGGACGGUUUUAGGUUUCCAAAAACAACGCACAAAUUAUUCGCAAAGAAACAAAUAAUUAAAAACUUUCCCAAAAUGAUCAAUAAUCGAAGAUAAACACAAGAUUUCAAAGCACAUAUAGUACACACAAAAACCAAGCUUCAAAUCAACAUUCGUAGUUCCCAACUCCAAAUAAACAACAGAAUUCCAAAGCUAGGAAAACGCAAUCCUAAUUAGAAACCAAACACAAAAACCUAUUAACAUUUCUUCAUCGAAACAGUUCCCAGAAAAAAGAAAAAGAAAAAAAAAAAAAAACAAAAGGAAACAGAAAUCGAACUCUAAAGCAAAAGGGUAUUAAAAAAAUUAGAAAAGAAACAGAAAAGAUGAAGAGGAAUGCGAAAAAUAAAGGAUGGAUCAGCAAUGCAGAGAAAAGAGCACCUGAUUUUGGGUGAAAACCAUGGAAGAAGAAGAAGAAGAAGAAGAAGAAGAAGAAGAAUAAGAAGAAAGAGGAGGGAAAAAUGCAAGAAAUGAAAAUGAUAAGAAAGAGCAGGCAAAAUCUGGGAAAAGUCUGGUUGGUUGUUGAAGUAAAGGGUAUAGUUAGAAGGUUUAAUCCGCCAUUUUUGGUGCUCUCGAAGGUAUCAAAAUGAGAGGAAAGGCAAAUAAAAACCAUCACAGAGCCAUUCUGAAAUACCACAAUUUCUCUCUCUAUCUGUAGGAGAAUAACUAAUGUAUUGUGUACGCCAGUUUCGUAUAAAUGUACGUAUAUUCUUCGACGGAAAAUGUUAUGUGUGAACACUCCCACGGAAAGAUAAGAUGCGCACAAUCAAAAUGUAAACAUUCUUCUGCUAUAACAUCACCAUCAUCAUCCCCAGAUUAUCCAAAUUUCUCCAUUUAUUAAACCCAAACAAUUCCCAAUUUUAAUUCAACUUAUUUUUAUUUUUAAUAUUGAUAAACUUACUUCAUAACAUAAAAAUGUAUUAUAAAACUAUGCAUUUUGAUUUAAACUUUAUGGUAUGGUUAAAUGAAUUAUGGCUAUUGAUAUGAAAUAAUAAUAUCUUGACCUUAUCUAUUUGAAUAAAUAAAUAAAACAUUUUGAGCCAUCUGUUUUCAUCUUGGGACAAAACAACAUGGCACGGUUGAGAUUUCUUUGGCACAAUAAUAGUAAUAUUUAUAUAAUAUGGACUCUUAAUCAAUCAUUGAUUUGGUUGGUUUAUUAAUUAAUAUAAAGUGUGGGCCUUAGGAUACAUGAUUCAAAUUAAUAUGUAAUUCAUCUAAUUGGUUCGCUUCUUUAAAUAAAAAUGAAUUAAUGUUGCAUUGAUAUCGCUGAUUUGGAUUUUGGUUUCAAGUUUAUCUUUCAUUAUUGUUUUAAUAAUAUUAUUUUCUGAUCCUUAUUCAUUUUUCCAAAAAUUUAUUACUUACAAUUUUAUCUUUUAAAAUAUAAAGCUUAAAUUACAUAUGAUUAUUAAAAAUUCAUGAUAUAAUCAGUUUAUUUAUAUUUAAAAGACGCUUACAUCAAUGGAUCUUCUUUUACAGCAUAUGAAUUGUUUGAGUUGGUAGUCAUAGAGCUAAUAAUUUUUUUUAAAAUUAUUCAAAUCCAAAAUUUAGGGUUAAAAUUAAUACAAAAGUAUUUGUUUGAAUAUUUAAAUUUCUUAUAUUUCAAACAAAAAGGAAAGAAAACUAAGAUUUAAAUUGACAUCUCUUUGUUAUAAUAAAAUAAGUAUUAACUAAAUAAAUUAUUUUGAAGAAAGAUUUUUUUUAUAUAUAAAUAAAACCAACUUAUUCGAGAAGAUUUUUUGCGAAUUUUUAAAAAUAGCAAAAUAAAUUAAAAUAUUUACAAGUUAUAACAAAAUUUUGGAUUUUAUCACUGAUAGUCAUUGACAUGUUACAGUGAUAGAAUUUGCUAUAGGUUGUAAAUAUUUUGUAAAAUUUGUUAUUUUUUAAAAUUCUCCAAGAUUUUUUUUAUAUUUUAUUAAAUAAAGAAAAUUGAUUAAUUUUCUUUACCCUCCUUGUACAACGGUCUCUUAUUUAAAAAAUUUCCCCUCCUUGUACAAGGUUUAGACUUUUCGAGGUGUCGAGGUUUGUGGUUUUGGGGUUUCAAGUUUCGAGCUCUGGGUUCGUGGUUUGAGGUUCGAGGUUCGAGAUUUGGGGUUUGAGGUUCGAAGUUAGGAGUGCUUUAGGGUUUAGUGUUUAGGAUUUUGGGUUCGGGUUUUGAGAUUGGGGUUUCGAGUUUCAUGUUUUGGGGUUUUAGGGUUUUGGGGUUGGGAGUUUAGAGGUUUGGAGGUUGGGAGGUUGGAAGGUUUGAGGGUUGGGUUUAGGGGUUUUGGGUUUCGUUCAAGGUUUUGGGGUUUGGGGUUGGGGGGUUUGGGAGUUGGGGUUGGAAGGUUUGGCAGUUGGGUUUAGGGGUUUUGGGUUUCGAGGUUUCAAGGUUUGUGGUUUUGGGGUUUUCGAUUUCGAGUUCAGGGUUCGAGGUUCGAGGUACGAGGUUCAUGAUUUGGGAUUUGGAGUUAAGGGUACUUUAGGGUUUAGUGUUUAGGAUUUUGGGUUUGGGGUUCGGAGUUCGUGGUUUGGGGUACUUUGGGGUUUAUGGAUUAGGGGUUAAAGUUUAGGAUUUAUGGUUUACGGUUUUUUUAGGGCUUAAGGUUUAAGGUUUCAGAUGCAUGGAUCGGUUCGGGGUUCGUGAUUUCAGGAUUCGGGGUGUAGCGUUUGGGAUUUCAGGAUUUAGGGUUUAGGAUUUAGGUUAGAGUUAUAGGGUUGUGUGUUAUUAGAUUCUGAGACAAUGACCAAUAUUAAUCAAAGUUCGAUACCCAUAAUAAGAAGCUCAAUUUUUCAAACCAAUCCAUAGUACAAAAUAAAUAGAUAUUCCUUAAAUAAUAGAAAUUGUUAUCUCCACCAGCAAAGUUUGAAGUUAGGAUUACGUGUUUCGAAUUUCGAGUUUCAGGGUUUAGGGGUUUUGGGGUUGGGGGUUGGGGUUUUGGAGGUUUAGGGGUUAGGGGUUGGAAGGUUUGAGGAGUUGGGGGUUGGGUUUCGAGGUUUAGAUUUUUCGAGGUUUCAACGUUUUGGGGUUUUGGGAGUUGGGGGUUUGGGGUUUGGGGGAUGGGAGGUUGGAAGGUUUGGGGUUUGGGUUUUGGUUUCGUGGUUCAAACUUUUCGAGGUUUUGAGGUUUGUGGUUUUGGGGUUAUAGGUUUCGAGGUUCGAGGUUUGAGGUUCAAAGUUCAGGGUUUGGGGUUAAGGGUUCAGGGUACUUUAAGGUUUAGUGUUUAGGAUUUUGGGUUUGGAUUUCAGGAUUGGGGAUUGGGGUUUGGGGUUUGUGGGUUGGGGUACUUUGGGGUUUACCGUUUAGGGGUUAAAGUUUAGGAUUUAUGGUUUACGGUUUUAGGGGUUUAGGGGUUUAGGGUGAAUGGAUCGGUUCAGAGUUCGUGAUUUCAAGAUUCGGGGUGGAGCGUUUGGGGUUUCAUAGUCUAAGUUAGGUUAGAGUUAUAGGGUUGUGUGUUAUUAGAUUUCGAGACGAUGACCAAUAUUAAUCAAAGUUUGAUACCCAAAAUGCAUGUAAAUCGAAUCAUAAUAUGAAACUCAAAAUUUCAAAUCAAUUCAUAAUACAACAUGCAUAGAUAUUCUCUAACUAAUAGAAAUUGUUAUCUCCACCAACAAAGUUUGAAGUUAGGAUUACAGGUUUCAGAUUUCGAGUUUCAGGGUUUUGGGGUUUUAGGGUUGAUGGUUAGGGGUUUGGAGGUUUGGAGGUUUGGGGGUUGGGUUUCGAGGGUUGUGGUUUUGGGGUUUCAGGUUUCGUGUUCAGGGUUCGAGGUUCGAGGUUCGGGUUAAGGGUACUUUAGGGUUUAGUGUUUAGGAUUUUAGGGUUCUGGUUUCGAGAUUGGGGAUUUGGGUUUGGGUUCAAGGUUCGUGGUUUGGGGUACUUUAGGGUUUAUGGUUUAAGGGUUAAAGUUUAGGAUUUAUGGUUUACGACUUUAGGUUUUUAGGGGUUUAAGGUUUAGUGUUUUAGGUUUCAGGGUUUAGGGUGCAUGGAUCAGUUUGGGGUUCGUGAUUUCGGGUUUCUAGGUAGAGCAUUUGGGGUUUCAAGUUUUAGGUUUCGGGGUUUUGGGGUUUUUGGGAUUUUGGGUUUGGGGGUUGGGUUAGGGGUUUUAGGUUUCGAGGUUUAGACUUUUCGAGGUUUCGAGGUUUGUGGUUUUGGGGUUUCAGGUUUCGUGUUCAGGGUUUGAGGUACGGGGUUCGGGGUUAAGGGUGUUGGAAUUUUUUGUCCUAAAACUCGUAGUUUGUAAAUCAUAUUCUGUUCAAUAAAGUUGUUAUUGAGAAAUUAAAUAUUAUAAUCUUAAAUCCAAUAAAUCAAGUUCCAAGGCUAUUUUUGAAUAAACUUGAACUUUAUGUGUAAACAUAAACGUGGAUCAAGUUCGAGUAUAUAGCCUAAAUAGUCUAUAGUAUAUGAAAUAAAGGUUGGGCGCCUUAUUUAGGAAAACUAUGGAUGCGGCCCACUUUGUAGUACAAACGAGGUGAUCCUAAUCGUUCAUGUAGAGACAUGAAAGUGGGGGCAUCAUAUGUAAAAUGUUUACAUAAGACUGAACCAUGAAUUAGUCUUUUUUACGUUAUAACACUGUUUAAUGUUUAAAACUAACUAUCUCAAUUAUUGAUGACCUAGGUAGCUUAGUCUUAAUCCUGAGUUAACUAUGAACUCCUGCUCACACGAGAUUAUCCUUAGAUCUGCAUAGGUGAUGGCAGCUCAUCAGCGUUGGCCCAAUAAGCCUCCCAUUUCAGGGGUAAGAUCGGGUGGAUAGCUGGGAACAUAGGGUACAAGAUGGAAUUUACUCCUACCCGCUUUAGGGUUAGUAGAUAGGUUGUUCUCUUAAGCACUGAAUCCAAGUCUUGAACAAGGGGCCCACCCUCUCAUUGGCCGAGAGGGAUUAAGUUUAUAGGUUGAACCUUAAACCAAUUGUUCAAUGGUGGAUUAGUGGAACUUAAGGAGCAAGAUGUAAUCUUAGGGGUAAAACGAUAUUUUGACCCAGCCAAGGUUACGAGCAACCUGUGAAUGAUUAACUUACUGAUUAUGGUUUUAUCAAAUGAACACAAAUAUAUCUAUAGUGAGGGGAGUGCAACUACGAGACUUUAGUGGAAUGACCCGUUAGUUAACGAAUGUUGAUUAACUCAGUUUAAAAGAGUUUAGCUAGUUAAUCUUGAAUCGUUGGAGCCCGUGAUCUAUAGGUCCAUUAGGUUCCUUUGCUAGCUCAUAUGGAUUAAACUUAGAACAGUGUGAUGAAAUAAGUCGAAUUGUUCGAAUUGGGAGAAGAAAGAGAAACCGACAAAUAUAGUGAUAUAGUCGUCGGUCUUCUAAUUAGAAAUAGAGCUUUAUGUUUUACAUACUAUAAGUAUGAAUACAGAUUCAUACUAAGAAGCUCGGAAUUGAUGGAAUUGGUCAAAAAUAGUAAAAAGUCAAAAUGUUGACUUUUGAUUUUGAAAAGUCAAACUUUGACCGGCCUUAUAUUCAAAUGUGAUUUGAAUUUUGGAAAAAUGAAUGCGGAUUCAUGCUCGGGAGGUUGGAAUUAGUCAAGACGGACAAAAUGGUAAAAAGUCAAAAUAUUGACUUUUGACUAAGAAAAGUCAAAGUUUGACUUUUGACUAGAAAUAUCUAAUGACCAUUUUACUCUUGGACUAAGUUAGUGGGAAAAUCCAACAUUUUGUUGGAUAAUCCCACUAACUCUUAGUGGGAUAUGUGGCUAUAUGAGAUAUAGACACCUAGCCCACUAAGUUCCACUAAUUGUUAGUGGAACAUUAGGUGUUGAGAUUUGGCAAAUGAAUUGCAUGCAUUUUUGCAUGUAAUUAGGUUAUAAAUAGAGGUGUUUUCAAAUGUUGAAGGACUUUUGCCUCUUUUAUCAUUUUCAUCAUCUCAACCAAAGAAAAAAAAGGAAACCUUCCAAUCCCAUUUUAUCUCCAUUACUUUCUACACCAAAAUUGGGUCCCACAACCCGGUUCUUUGUCUAGAGGAUAGCAGUUGAGUACUAGUGGUGGUCUCGGCUUGAAUUGGUAAGAAGAUAUCAAACUUUUUGAAAGCUUCAAAGGUAAUAUUUCCUAAAACCCUAAUUUGAUUAGUUUAUGGUUACAUGUUAAUUGUGGCAAUUAGGGUAGAAAUUCGAUUAUUUUUCCGCUGUGCAUAACUUAGUUCUAUCAAAGGGUACUUUAAGGUUUAGUGUUUAGAAUUUUAGGGUUCGGGUUUCAAGAUUAGGGAUUGGGGUUUUGGGUUCGGGGUUCGUGGAUUUGGGUACUUUAGGGUUUAGGGUUUAGGGUAGAGUUCUAGGGCUGUGUGUACUUAGAUUCCGAGACGAUGACCAAUUUUAAUCAAGUUUGAUACCCAAAAUGCAUGUAAUUCAAAUCAUAAUAAGAAACUCAAAAUUUCAAACCAAUCCAUAAUACAAAAUGCUUAAAUAUUCCCUAAAUAAUAGAAAUUGUUAUCUCCACCAAUAAAGUUUGAAGUUAAGAUUACAGGUUUCAGAUUUCAAGUUUUGAGGUUUUGGGGUUUUGGAGUUUUGGGGUUGGGAGUUUGGAGGUUUGGAGGUUUAGGGGUUGGGAGGUUUGGGGGUUUGGGGGUUGGGAGUUUGGAGGUUUGGACGUUAAGGGUUGGAAGGUUUGGGGGUUGGGUUUAGGAGUUUUGGUUUUCGAAGUUAGACUUUUCAAGGUUUUGAGGUUGGGGGUUUGGAGGUUUGGGGGUUGAGGGUUUGAAGGUUUGGUUGUUGGGUUUAGGUGUUUUGGGUUUCGAGGUUUAGACUUUUCGAGGUUUCGAGGUUUGUGGUUUUGGGGUUUCAAGUUUCGAGCUCUGGGUUCGUGGUUUGAGGUUCGAGGUUUGAGAUUCGGGGUUCGAGGUUCGAAGUUAGGUGCUUUAGGGUUUAGGAUUUUCGGUUUGGGUUUUGAGAUUGGGGUUUCGAGUUUCAUGUGUCGGGGUUUUGGGCUUUUGGUGUUGGGAGUUUAGAGGUUUGGAGGUUGGGAGGUUGGAAGGUUUGAGGGGUUGGGGGUUGGGUUUAGUGGUCUCGGGGUUUAGGGUUUGGGGGUUGAGGGUUGGAAGGUUUGAGGGUUGGGUUUAGGGGUUUUGGGUUUCAUUCGAGGUUUUGGGGUUUGGGGGUUGGGGGGUUUGGGAGUUGGGGAUUGUUCUGCACCAAGAUCACCUCUGACAACCAUUGCCUAAAAUGAAAAUAAAUGUUCUUCAAUUAGCAACAAAGCCCCAGACUACCAACAAAAUUGAAAACCUUUGAAUGAAAUUUAACAUUAACGAAGCUAUAAAAAAAUUCAAACAAUUACCCAUCAGAAGCUGUAAUAAUUGAAUGAAAAUUUGGUAUGGAGUAUACACUUUCUAUAUUUACAAUCACGUUAAUAUCAGCAUCAAAACCUGUAGAGUCAGAUAAGUUAAUAAGUUUGUAGUAGAACAGACUAGCAGAAAUGCAGCAUCCAAAUUGUAUUUAUAAGCACAACAUAAAGAUUUGAAGCUAUUUACUCUUGAGAUAUUUCAACUCAUGAAGUAGUUUGUUGUCAACUCCAAAUUUAAUAUCAUCCAAAUCCUUCUCAGCAAGAAGUAGACAACAAAUUCAUUGAGUCACAGACAAAAAAAUAAAUUUACUUAUAGAAAAAUCCCGAAAAGAAGAAACUUCACGAAAAGGUGAAAUCUAUAGGAUAUGCUUAUUCAAUCCAACCAAUAAUUGAAGGAAGUGUAGCACUUUUCCCUCGAACAUUUCAAUGUCUCAUGGACUUGAGCUCUCCUCCAUCAAUAACUUCACAUAAGACAGAAUCUUCUGUCUUAGACUUCACCAUCAACGACAUCAUUCCACCUCUAAUGGAUUUAAAUAGCCAAUGUUUGUGCAAGCCACGAGAUAAUUAGAAAAAAGAAAGCACAUGCGAUGUAACAUACAUAAAAAAAAUAAUAAUAAACAUUAUACAUCAUCUAAGAUAGCAACAAGGAAAUACUAAAGAACUUGGGCAUCACAGAGGUAUGGGUGUGGGUGUGGGUGUGGGAGGGAGAUCAAACCAUUUGCUAUAGUCAAUCCAUCCAGUGAAAAAAGUCAAUAUGUCGUUUCCCUUGGCUAAAACCAUUUGCUAUAAUCUGGCUCAUUUAGAACUUAUUUGAAAGUUCAUUGCUGUGAUAUAUAUAUAUACAUAUGUCCUUUAUUAUAAUUUUACAUGGUCUCUAGGGUUUAGUUUAUUCUCUAUAUAAAUAUGUAACAUUGCUUUGACUCAAACAUAAUAAGACAGAUACUUCUCUGAAUUCUAGAUUACAUGGUAUCAGAGCCAUUAGGGUUUCGAAUGGCCAUUAGCUUCCUCCUCCAUUAGGUUUGAGUUUAGGUUACAUUCCGCUGACCAUUUGUCGACACCGCCCAUACCAUAAGAAGCACCACCUCCGUCCGCCCAAGUCUGUCUUCGUCGAUCGCCGGAAAACACCGCGCGUGACCGUCACGCGCCACCGAAAUCAUCGUCGCCUUCACCCACGAGUCGACCCGUGAGAAGUCCGAUUUGUCUUCCGUCUUCUGGGCUUGUCUCGAACCAUUGUUUCCUGUUAGUCUAUACCAUUGGGUCUAUCAAAUAACAUUUGGGUUUGACGAAAACUGAAGGUUACACGAUUGAUUUUGGGUCUUUUUCCAAUUUUACAGCUGUUUGGAUUGAUUUUCUCUUUGUUCGUGUGGACUACAAUCAACGUGUGACUUCAAUAUGGCCGACAUAAAAAAUUUGGUAGUCUCCAACGUUAUUCCCUUGGCCUCUAAGAUCACAGAACAUAAGUUAAAUGGAUCCAAUUAUUACGAUUGGCGUCGGACAAUUUUAUUUUAUUUGAGAAGUACUGAUAUGGAUGAUCAUAUGACUGAAGAUCCCCCAAAAGAUGCAAAGCAGAAGAAGGAUUGGCUUCGUGAUGAUGCCCGUUUAUAUCUUCAGAUCAAGAAUUCAAUUGAGAGUGAGAUAAUUGGAUUGGUUGAUCACUGUGAGUCUGUUAAAGAACUUUUGGAAUUUUUGGAUUUUCUAUACUCAGGUAAAGAGCAAGUGCAUAGAAUGUUUGAAGUUUGUAUGCAAUUUUUUCGUGCGGAACAGAAAGCUGAGUCUGUCACCAGCUACUUUAUGCGGCUUAAGAAGAUCAUUGCCGAGCUUGGCUUGUUGUUACCUUUUAGUCCUGAUGUUAAAGUUCAACAAGUUCAACGAGAGAAGAUGGCUGUUAUGAUUUUCCUGAAUGGACUCUUACCUGAAUUUGGAAUGGCAAAGACACAGAUUCUCUCUGACUCCAAGAUUCCAUCAUUAGAUGAUGCCUUCACUCGAGUCCUUCGCAUUGAAAGCUCUCCGACUAGUGUGUCUAUUCCUCAACCCAGUAGUGCUCUCUUUAGCAAGAACAAUAACCCUCGAGCACCUCAGAGGAAUAGUACUGAUCAUCGAAAACCAGAGUCUGUAGAGAUUGUUUGUAACUACUGUCGUAAGCCAGGCCAUAUGAAACGUGAUUGUCGGAAAUUGCUAUAUAAGAAUAGUCAACGAUCUCAACAUGCUCAGAUAGCCUCCACAUGUGAUAUACCAGAGGCGUCAGUUACUAUUUUUGCAAAUGAGUUUGCUAAGUUUCAGAAUUACCAAGAGUCAUUACAAGCGUCAUCUUCCUCUACUCCGAUUGCAUCCACUGUUGCCCCAGGUAAUACAAAGUGUCUUCUUACAUCAUCUACCAAAUGGGUCAUAGACUCUGGUGCCACAGCUCAUAUGACAGGUAAUUCUCACCUAUUUUCUAGACCGUUGUCCCCUGCCCCUUUUCCAUCGGUUACAUUGGCCGAUGGCUCCACAUCUUCUGUUCUUGGCUCUGGCACUAUUCACCUUACCCCAUCCUUUUCUCUCUCUUCUAUGUUACAUUUGCCUAACUUAUCCUUUAAUUUAAUUUCUACUAGUCAACUUACUCAUGACCUAAAUUGUGUUGUCAUGUUCUUUUCUGGUUAUUGCUUGUUUUAGGAUCGUGUGACGAAGAAGAUUAUUGGUAGAGGAUAUGAGUCAGGAGGCCUUUAUCUCUUUGAUCAUCAAGUAUCGCAAGCUGUGGCGUGUCCUGUCGUUCCCUCUCCUUUUGAAGUCCAUUGUCAUUUAGGUCAUCCAUCUUUGUUUGUGUUGAAGAAACUUUAUCCAGAAUUUAGGUCUUUGUCCUCUUUAAAUUGUGAUUUGUGUCAAUUUACGAAAUUUCAUCGUCUUAGUUCGAGUCCUCGAGUCGAUAAACGUGCAAUUGCUCCAUUUGAGUUAGUUCAUUAUGAUAUUUGGGGUCCAUGUCCAGUUGUAUCUCAAACAGGCUUUUGUUAUUUUGUUACUUUUGUUGACGACCAUUCUCGUCUAACUUGGUUAUAUUUAAUGAAAAAUCGUUCUGAGUUAUUAUCUCAUUUUUGUGCCUUUCAUACUGAAAUAAAAAACCAGUUUAAUGUCUCUAUCAAAACUUUGCGUACUGAUAAUGCGGGUGAAUAUUUUUCUCAUUCUCUUGGCUCUUACUUGUGUGAAAAUGGCAUUAUUCAUCAGUUUUCUUGUGCUGACACUCCAUCUCAAAAUGGUGUUGCAGAGCGAAAAAAUAGGCAUUUACUUGAAACUGCCUGUGCUUUAUCGUUUCAAAUGCAUGUUUCAAAAACCUUUUGUGUGGAUGCUGUCUCUACAGCUUGUUUUUUGAUUAAUAGAAUGCCUUCCUCUGUUCUUAAUGGUGAGAUUCCCUACCGUGUUCUUUUUCCUACCAAGCCUUUGUUUCCUAUUGCUCCUAAGAUAUUUGGUUGUGUCUGUUUUGUUUGUGACGUUCGUCCUCAUCAUACUAAGUUAGAUCCCAAAUCCUUGAAGUGUAUCUUCUUGGGUUAUUCACGUGUUCAAAAGGGUUAUCGUUGUUAUUGUCCUACCCUUAAAAGGUAUCUGGUUUCGCGUGAUGUUGUUUUUUUUUAGGAUACACCCUUUACUUCAUCACCAUCGAGUUCGUGUCAGGGGGAGGAUGACAAUCUUUUUAUAUAUGAGGUUACCUCUCCCACACCAUCCUUGUCUACUGAUGUGCCUCCUUCCCGCCCGUUGAUUUCUCAAGUCUACUCCCGACGACCUCCACCACAACCUUCAGACUCAUGUCCUCCAUCAAUGCUUCCUUCAUCAUGUGAUCCAGAGCCAAGUGAUGAUCUUCCCAUUGCUCUUCACAAAGGUAAACGCAAGUGUACUUACCCCGUUUCUUCCUUUAUUUCCUAUCACCAGUUAUCUCCCUCCACAUAUGUGUUUAUUACGUCUCUUGAGUCCAGAUCUAUUCCUAACUCUGUUCAUGAAGCUUUGUCUCAUCAUGGCUGGCAAAAUGCAAUGAUUGAGGAGAUGACUGCUUUAGAUGAUAAUGGUACUUGGGAUUCGUCUUGCAGGAAAGAAGGCCAUUGGUUGUAAAUGGGUGUUUGUUGUCAAGAUGAAUCCUGAUGGAACAGUGGCUCGAUUAAAGGCUCGCCUUGUUGCCAAAGGUUAUGCUCAAAUCUAUGGAACUGAUUAUUCAGAUACAUUAUUUCCGAUUGCCAAGUUAACUUCCAUUCACCUAUUUCUUUCCAUGGUUGCUACCAAUAAAUGGUCGUUGCAUCAACUUGACAUUAAGAAUGUUUUUCUUCACGGUGAUCUUCAAGAGGAAGUUUAUAUGGAACAACCACCAGGGUUUGUUGCUCAGGGGGAGAGUGAUAAAGUAUGUCGCCUUCGAAAAUCUCUGUAUGGUUUGAAACAGAGUCCUCGUGCGUGGUUUGGUAAGUUUAGUCAAGCCCUUGUAUGCUUUGGUAUGAAGAAGAGUACAUCUGAUCAUUUAGUUUUCUAUCGUCGAUCUGAUAAGGGUAUGAUUCUACUAGUUGUAUAUGUUGAUGAUAUUGUUAUUACUGGAAAUGAUGCAUUGGGUAUUUCGUCUCUCAAAACUUUCCUUCAGGGUCAGUUUUAUACAAAAGAUUUGAGCCAAUUGAAAUAUUUUUUGGGCAUUGAAGUGAUGAGAAGCAAGAAAGGUAUUUAUUUGUCUCAAUGAAAAUAUGUACUUGAUUUGUUUAAAACAGGAAAAUUAGGCGCCAAACCAAGUGGCACUCCAAUGAUGCCAAAUCAGCAACUUGUUAAAGAAGGAGAAUUAUGUAAAGAUCCUAAGAGAUAUAGGAGAUUAGUUGGGAAGUUGAACUACUUAAUAGUGACUCGACCAAACAUUGCAUAUUCUGUAAGUGUUGUAAGUCAAUUCAUGUCUUCCCCUACAGUGGAUCAUUGGGCUGCAAUAGAGCAGAUUUUAUGUUAUCUAAAAGCUGCUCCUGGACGUGGGAUCCUAUACAAAGAUCAUGGACAUACGAGAGUUGAAUGUUUUUCUGAUGCUGAUUGGGCAGGGUCUCGUAAGGAUAGGAGAUCAACUUCUUGAUAUUGUGUUUUUGUAGGUGGAAACUUAGUUUCAUGGAAGAGUAAGAAACAAAAUGUUGUUUCUCGUUCGAGUGUUGAGUCAGAAUAUAGAGCUAUGGCACAAUCUGUGUGUGAAAUAGUAUGGAUUCACCAACUAUUAUCUGAGAUAGACUUCAGUAUUACCGUGCCAGCUAAAUUAUGGUGUGAUAAUCAAGCUGCACUUCAUAUUGCAUCUAAUCCAGUAUUUCAUGAACGAACUAAACAUAUUGAGGUGGAUUGUCACUUCAUUCGUGAGAAAAUCCAAGAUGGGUUGGUGUCCACAGGAUAUGUGAAGACCGGAGAACAAUCGGGAGAUAUUCUAACUAAAGCUUUAAAUGGAACAAGGAUAAGCUAUCUGUGCAACAAGCUGGGCAUGAUCGACAUAUUUGCUCCAGCUUGAGGGGGAGUGUUAUGAUAUAUAUAUACAUAUGUCCUUUAUUGUAAUUUUACAUAGUCUCUAGGGUUUAGUUUAUUCUCUAUAUAAAUAUGUAACAUUGCUUUGACUCAAACAUAAUAAGACAGAUACUUCUCUCAAUUCCAGAUUACAUUCAUAUCCUUAUUAGGUACAAAUAUGUAAGGAAGGAAUCAAGAAACUUACACUUCCUAGUAAAUAUAUUUGAUAAAGAACUCGAGAAAAGACUACUCUCAUACUGAGAAUUCAUCGUAUUGACUUCAUUACUUCGAGAAAAAUAAUUGGAUGUUUUUUCAGCUCCAACAUGUCUAUUCAGGAUAAGACUUGCAUUCUAGUCUCUCACAAGAAAUGAAACAUGAUUUUCCAAGGAGUUCUCUGGCAGGCACUCACAUAUUGAAAUUUUUUCCACAGAUGAUGAAGAACGUGAUAUGUUACUGGUUGUUCAUAAACAUUGAAGAAACACAUCUUUCAGUUACAUGAAAGUCCUCACCACACUACAACAGAAUAGAUAGGGUGAAUGAGAUAGUUUUGGAAAUAUAAAUUCGACCUCCAAUCCAAUCCUUUAAUUUGCUUUAAAAAAAAACCCUUUUGUUAGAAAUUCCCAUAAAAAUGCACAGAGGAAGUCCAUAAAAUAUAUAAAGCAAAGUAAAACCAACUAUAUAGGUUUGGGAAAAUUGAAACAGGCUAAACUAUGCAAAAUUGAUGACUUUCUUUAUAUUUUUAUUCUUUGGGUAUGUGUGUGUGGUGGCAACCCAGAGGGAAUAGAGUACUAUACACUUUAAGUCAGGUAAUGUUGUUUCAGCAAGAACCAAUGUGGGUAGGCAUAAUCAUCAAAGAAAUGAACAAACUAAAAGUCUUUAAAUAGUAGUGGGUCAAACCACAAUGACCAUCUAUCUAGGAGGUCAAUAAAUCCUCCAAGAUUCCUCACGCCAAACAUAAUAGGGUAAGAAUUGUUAUUUUGUGAGAUUAGUGAUGUUGCAAAAGUUGAGCCAAACAGUCAUGACUAUGAAACAAACAAAGCGUCAUUACGAAAUAAAAAACAACAUAAAAAAAAAUAAUUCUUAUAAAAAAAUAUACAAGUUAUUUGAAAUCUCUUGGAAUUCAUGAAUUGUACAUCAUAAAAAAAUGAUAAAUUUUGUUACUACUAUGAAGUGGGAUAAUCACAGAUUAGUGUCUUUCAAACAUUGCACUUUUCAUGCAUUACAUGUCAUGUUAAUGCUCCUAAUUAUGAGAAUUACCUUCCACUAUAAUUAGAUUCAAAAUCAUUUUAAUUUCCAAAUGCCUCUUUAGAACCCCUAGACAUUCUACAUUUCUCAUGAUAUAGUACAGGAAAUAUGUGGUGGUCAAUCAAUUAAUGACAAACUAUAUCCUGUCACUUGAAAGAUCAAGUAUACAAAGAUAAAAACACAAGAAACCAAAAGUAAUCAAAACAGAAAAAGAAGAUAAAUGCACUAACCGUGGUGAUUUGGCACACUAGCUGACUUCCAAACUCCAACCUGCACAGGGAAUGCAGGGAAGAAAAAAAAAAGAGAAAUAUGAAGUAAAUAGAAAUUAUGUGUGGAGACACUGAAGAAAGAUGCAGUACUAUGAACUGCAAGAACAAGCAAUCUCUUAAGCUAGAAAAAGAAGAAACAUGAAAAACCAAGGAUGUAAUUGUUGAUUUUAUGGAAUAAAUCUAUAUUUCAUUUAUUAUUUAGUAGAGAUACAAGCCUAUAUAUAACCAUAGAGAAAUACACUUAAGGAAAUAAUAUCAAAUAAUAUCUCCAGAAUAAUAUCACCUAAGAAUAAUCUAAUUAUAUUAAUAGUUAUUAUCUAUACCUCAUUUGUAUGACGUAAAUCGUCGGAGAAGAAGGAAGAUGAAGACAAACCCUUCAAGUCCAAAACUUUAGACGACAUGAUGGAACCGAAAAAGAACAAAUCCCAAAAUAAAGAAAGAAAACUCAAAGAAGCUCCGUAAAAAAGGACGCCAAAAAUUGUAACCCCACUCCUUCAGAAGGCAAUUCAAAAACUUCCCUCCAGCCUACAAAACUCUGCAGGUUGAGCAAAACAUUUCAUGAGUAGAAAAAGAAAUAAAAGAAAUUAAAUUACAAAAUGAAGAACCAUUGAUUAAACUAACUUAAACACCACAAUUCAUAUGUACCACAUAGUCAAACAAGAAAGUAAUGCAACAAAUUAAACAAAACAAAUCAUAAACAUUAAUUAAGAGAUCGCCUCUCAAAAAUUAAGUUUCAAAAACACAAAAAAACAACUGAAAUAGAAGGAAAUAAAAAGGUUCUCUCCAACACUAUUUGUUAUAACAAAAUCCAGACAAGAAAUGGUUUCCUAAUUACUAUUUCCUUUCUUCUAUGGAGCUGCAUAACACUUGGCUAAAACCAUGAAUGCUACUAAUACUUUGGUUGAAAAUGUUGGUUAAAUGGUCAAUGGAAUCCCAUAUAAUAAAUACCCACAUAGAGUGAGUGAGAUCGAAUAAAAUUUCACAUUUACAUAAGAACUAGCAGUUGUAGGGUAUGGAGAAGAAAGUUUCCUAAUCAUUAAAAAGUUGGAAGAUUCUAAAAGUAGGGCUUAUAUUUGAUAAAAAACAAUACAUAAACUUUAAGAACAACCAAAUCAGACAAAUAAGUAAAAGAGAUAAAUAACAAAACCCAUGAAGAGCAAGGAAAAAGGUACCUGCAACGACAAGGAAAUGUCAUUUUUUUGAUAAAUUAAAAUAAUAAAUCUUGAAUGUUCAUGUGAUAAAUUUUGGUUGUAUACAAUUACACAAGUUGUAUAAAUAUAUAAAUAUAUAAUUUAUUUAUGUAAAUAUGGUUGAAAGAAUGAAAAGAAAAUGUGGAAAAGAUGAUAGCAUAUAAGGAAAUGUCAUUUUUUUGGGGGAAGGAAUUAAAAACUGCCCAUGAGAAUCAAUACCCUGCUGCCUUAAUGCCUUUGAUUCUCAAUCACAAUAUUCCUCUAUAUUUCACUUUUAAAUUUCACUUAUUAACAAAAAUAGUUCCUAUAAUAAAAACUUAUAAAUUACCAAUUCCAAAAUUCAUGGCACAACUUCUAUUUUUAUUAUUUUGAAAGAAAAAAAGAAAGAAGCUUAACCUAAUCAAUGGAGAUGGUCAAAAACUACUGAAGAGUAAUGGCAGAAUCCUCUGUGAGUGUUGAGGAAAUUAGCUAAGUAUCCCUAACCAUGAAGGGAGUUUGAGAAAGCUUACCACUUCUAAUAAAUUGGCUCCUUCACUGAGUCCCUCGAGCUCUCUUGGAUCUUGGUGAACAGGUACCACCCUAAAUAGUCAGAAACAUGGAACUAUUUCUCAUCUCUAUUAUCGUAAUUAUUUGUGAACUCUCAAUGUUCAAGAGGCUGAGUAGCUUUAUAUGAAAUAGGUGCAAGAGCGGUUUGAAGUUCUUAAAAAGAGAGAAACAUCAGGAAGCUUCACAGAGCAAGGUAAAGCUUAAGAAUUCAGAGUUAGUUAAGAUCAAAACCAUAAUCAUAGAACAAUCAACAACAAACAAAUCUCAUAUCUCAUCAAAUUUUUCAAAAAGAUAAAUAAAAGAAAACAAGUAAGAAUUAGACAAGCAAACAUACAAUGUCUAUUUUUCCAUUUGAAUUUUUCCUACAUCUGUUAAGUUCCAAAUAUGUUUUUGAGUCAUUGGAAAUUACUUUUUAUAUUACAAAAUCACUUUUAAAAGUAGACACAAACAAAUGUUAAUAUGGCUAAUGGAACAAUAACCUACAAAUUUGUAGGUACUCUACCCUACAAAUUAAAUUCACAAUUCUUGCAACAAUGCUUUUGACUUCAUUUAUAUCAAGAUAUUGAUGUCACACCAGUGAUACUAAUAACAAGAAACAAAACCAAGAAUCAAUAGUUUCAUCAUUUUUUCUUUUCUCUUGGGCAUUGUCGGUUUCAUUCUAAAGUGAUUUUUCUUAGCCAAAACAACAAUGAAAUCAAAUCACAGUUACUAUGAAUAUGUUAGUGUAAAGUACGAAGCAUUCUUCUUCAUUUUUGGUUGAUCCAUUCUCCAUUGUACUCAAUGGAAAAUUAAAUAAAAUUAUGGAACUGUUUCUUCAUCCAUUUCCAAUAAACCCAGUAAAGAAAUCACUCAGAACAACAAAAAAAUGAUAAUAAAUAUAUAGCAACUUUGAACAAGAAAACAUGUUUUUGAAUUGAAUCUUUCCCUUAGCCAAUAUCAAAGUUUUAAUACAGUGGAAGAACACUUUUAACAAAACAUUUAUUAAUAAAAAUCAACUUUGUUAACUAGUUUCUAAAAACACUCUCAAAUAUGCCUUCCAUAACCUGGUUUAAGUUUUGAAGAAAAAUGACUAAUGGGCUGGGAUACUCAUGCCAUGGAAUGGCAAAAAAGAGGCUGAGCUUUGUAUUUGAAGUAUCAUGUUGGUGAAGACAUGUAAAAGGUCUUAUGAACAUUUCAAUUUAACUCUUUUGUCUCUUGAGUACUAUAGCUUUAGACUAAUGAUUAUUUUCCAGUUUGUCUCUACACAAAAGACCAGUUUGUCCAUUUCUACUUUAAUUGUCAGCCUUCCAAGCUUGUCAAAUACAUCAGUUUUUAAGAUUUAUGUGCACCCCAUGUCAUUAAUCCCUUCCUAAGCUGAUUUUCCUUCGUAAAUAUAUAUUACACUUAACACUUAAACACACAUAUUUCAAAGAUUGAUUCCAAAACGAAAAUGAGAAAUGAAUGAAACUCAAAUUAAAAUAGAGAAAUAGAGAGUGGAGGUGAAAAUAACCAGAAAAUUUUUACAAUAAUGCUAUGGAGGAAAAGAAGAUAAGUGACUGAAGGAAAUGAGGACUCAGGGAAAAGACUCCUAUUGGAAGAAGGAAACUAAGUUACCAUUUUGAAAUUUCAAGAAAGAAACUGAUGGAUCUGAAAUGGGUGUAUGUAUCUCUUAUUAGCAACCCAAACUACUGUUUGAACAGAGAUUUUAUUAUACCAAAUGCUUAUGUAAUACUUGGAUGAAGAAGAUGAAGAUUUCAUGAGUAGAAAAAAAAAAAAGAGAAAUAUGAAGGAAACAAAAAUGAUGUGGGGGGACACUGAAGAAACAGAUCCAAAAACAUGCAGUACUAUGAACUGCAAGAACAAUCAAUCUCUUAAAGCUAGAAAAAGAAGAAACAUGAAAAACCAAGGAUGUAAUUAUUUAUACCUCAUCUGUAUGACGUAAAUCGUCGGAGAAGAAGGAAGAUGAAGACAAACCCUUCAAGUCCAAAACUUUAGACAGCAUGAUGGAACUGAAAAAGAACAAAUCCCAAAAUAAAAGAAAGAAAACUCAAAGAAGCUCCAUAAAAAAAAGGACGCCAAAAAUUGCAACCCCACUCCUUCAGAAGGCAAUUCAAAAAAUUCCCUGGAGCCUAUAAAAAUCUACAGGUCGAACAAAACAUUUCAUGAGUAGAGAAAAAAUAAAAGAAAUCAAAUUACAAAACGAAGAAUCAUUUAUUAAACUAACUUAAACACCACAAUUCAUAUUUUUUUAGGGUUACCCAUUGUGCACCCACCAAAUCAUUCUUAAGAGAUUUAAGUUUAACAGUAAAGACCAGAGAUGGAUCAAACUAUUACACCAUUGUUAAAAAGAAGAAAAGAAGGCCCAUAGAAAGGGAAGCUAUUAAGGAAGAUAUUUCAUUGUUGGCAAAGAGCAUUGAAAGGCUGGGUGUGCAGGCUGGACAACAACAGCAGCAGCAGCAACGAACUUUCAUGAAAAUAUACUUAAAGAAUGAUUAAGGGAAAAACAACAUGGGAAGAAGUUCCAGAAAGGUUCGUCCAACAAGAAAGAAACUAUGAUUGAUGUCAGUGAUUCAUUUGUGAUGGGAGGAAAAUCGGAAGAAAAAUACACCAAGUUGUAUUUUUCUAAUAAUCCACUAUUUUUCUAUCUAGGGUCCUUACACAUUUCUUCAUUGGUGAUCCUCAAGAAGGGGUGUGUAUGGAGCAACCACUAGGGUUUUGUUGCUCAGGGGAAGAAUGGAAAGGCGUGUCGCCUUUGUAAAUCUUUAGAUGGACUAAAACGUAGUCCACGGGCUUGGUUUGGGCAAAUUUAUUAAGGUGAUCGAAAGUUUUAGAAUGCAAAAGAGCCCGUUAGAUCAUUCAAACUUUUUUAAAAGAUCCGAGAGUGGGGUGAUCCUAAUAGUAGUAUAUGUUGAUGCAACUGUGGUUAUUGGUGAUGAUUCUUUAGAUAUCCAGUCCCUGAAGACUUUUCUCUAUUGCCAAUUCCAAAUAAAAGAUUUGAGCAUGUUGAAAUACCUCCUAGGAAUUUGAGGUAUAAAACACAGGCAAGAAAGCAAUAAUACUUAUAUCACAGAGAAAAAAUAUGGACUUGUUGACUAAAACAUGGAAGGUAUGGGCUAAGCCAUGUAGUACCCCAACGAUGCCUAACUUAUAGCUCACAAAAGAUGGAGAAUUGUUGAAAGAUCUUGAAAGAUAUAGGAGGUUAGAGGGAAAACUUAAUUACCUUCCAGUGGACUCGACUCGACAUAGCCUAUUUAGUAAGUAUUAUGAGCCAGUAUAUGUAAUGCCCUAAAGUUGAUCAUUCAAGCUGCUUUGGAAUGAUUCAGUGUUAUUUUGAAGGCUGCUCUCAGGCAUGGUUUUAUUAUAUAAGGAUUAUAGUCAUACUAAUAUUGAAUAUUUCUCAGAUGUUAAUUGGUAAAAUCUAAAGAAGACAAAAGAUCAACUUCAGGAUAUUUUGUUUUUGUUGGUGGCAAUUUGAUGUCUUGGAAAAGUAAAGAAACAAAAUGUGGUGUCACAUUCAAGUGCAUAAUAAAAAAUAUAGCGCAAUUGCACAGUUUUUGUAUGAAUUGGAUAUAUCAAAUUGAUUUGGAUAUAUCAACUUUUUGACUAUUGUUGAGUUGGGAUUUGAAAUCACCACACUAGCAAAAUUGUGGUGUGAUAAUUAAGCAACACUUGAUAUCGCAUUUAAUCCGGUGUUCCAUGAAGUUAAUGACAAUUCUAUCACUGGUUCUUUUUAUUCUAUACCAAGUUCAAUAGCUUUUACCUCAAGUUCCUCUAUACGAUCAUCCUCUUCCACUACUUCCAAUUCCUCCUCAUUUGCUUGAACAACUUAACACUCUGAGUUCCUUCUGAUCCUUCACCUUACAUCUAUGGCCUGCACAAAAUUUUUCCUCACAACAAAAGCAGAUCCCUUUUCUCACAUCUGGCUUUUGAAACUCAACAUCACAAAAAGUCGUCUUGGUGGUCCUUCCCGUCAAUUAAUUUUCUGCAGCCCCUCGAAGUGUGAUAGCCCUUACUGGAACAGUACCUUCUGACUUAUUGUCAUUUGGAAACUACAUGAAAUUGAGUAUUUAAAGAAGUAGAAACCUGGGUUUUAUCAUCCCCUACACAUUUUAAGUCAGAUUCACCCUUAUCACCUCUCGGUUCUCAAUUUUCUGGGCCAAUUUCAUCAUUUUGAGCAAAGCCCAACAGGUUCCCAACAUUCCAAUUUUGUCUUAAUCCAAGGUUUCAAACCAUUCAUAAAUGUCUCUUCUAUAACUGUCUUAUGCAGAAAAGGCAAAGGUGCCACCAAUUUAUCAAAAAAAAUUAUGUAUUCAUCCACUGUAGUGUCUUGUUUUAUCGUUAAAAAUCUGCCCAAUAUUGAUCCCUCACGGUCUGAUCGAAAUCGAAUAAUAAGUCUUCUCUUUAAAUCUUCCCAAUUAACAAACGGUUCACGGUCUUCAUGAGAUCUAUACCAAUCCAAGGCUGCACCAUCAAAACCUAAUGAUUGUCACCGUCAUCUUCUCUGACUCAGUAAGUUUGUGUAUCUGAAAAUAACGUUCUACUCUAAAUAACCAAGAAUCCGGGCAAUACCCGCGAAAACUGGCAUGUCAAUUUUCUUGAAUUUGCUUCGAUCCCCUGCAGAUUCUUCUCCUUCCAACUUGGUGUAUUUUUCUUCCGAUUUUCCUCCCAUCACAAAUGAAUCACUGACAUCAAUCAUAGUUUCUUUCUUGUUGGACGAACCUUCUGGAACUUCUUCCCAUGUUGUCUUUCCCUUAAUCAUUCUUUAAGUAUAUUUUCAUGAAAGUGGUUUAAAAAAAGAUGACGAUUCUUUCAGUUUUCAAACCCACUGACUUCAUGAAAUUAAUAAAUAGAAGUGUGAAAGUAACAUAGACAUGAAAUAUAUAAGCUAGAGCAAAGGCAUGACUACUAUACCUGACUACCAUUACAUAGCGCUAAAAGAAAAUGUAAUUUUCUUUUUCAUUUAAUAUGUACUUUGACGUAAUAGUAAUAGUAAUUCCUCUUUCAAACAACCACUUUUUUUUCAACAAAGAGGACAAGGCUUAUGAUCCCUAAAUCGUUAGCAAUUAAGAUGCAGCAAAUAAGGUAGUUAAGAUGCAAAAAAUAAGAAAACACCCCAAAUCACUACAGUGCAUAACAAAUCUAUCACAUAAGCACAAAGAUAAAUACUGAGAGUAUUAGUUGAAACUUAGCAAACACAAACAGGGCAAACUAUUAUUUAACGUGCUAGUUUAAAUAUAUAUCUAAACUAAACUACACAAGUAUUUCAAACAGGCAAAACUAAAAUUAGAUUUAUAGAAACAACGUGUCCUCAUCCUUUCUCCCAAGGAAUGCUAUUCAUUAUGAUUUUAUCUUUUGAGUUUUAAAAUAAGCUAUUUAUUAUUCAUAUCUUUUCUUGUGCUAUCUAGAAGCUAACCAAACAACAUAGAGAAAGUACAUUUGUAUCACUAAUCAAUAUUUGAAAUGAUGAAGCAGAUUAAAUAAUACAAAAUUCAGGAAGUAGAACUUGCCGACUUCAGCUGCUCCCUGAGUUCCUUGAACUUAAGGUUUCUCAUGUUCUCAACAAUGAAAACAAAAAUUGAGUUGUAAUUUUCCACACCCUGCCUGAUCGAUUCCACCAUUGAUUUCUUGUGGUCCCUUCCUUUUCUUCUUUGUUUUUGAUAAAGUAAUUGCAUUUAUCCCACAGACAAUUAGAUAGAAGACUUAAAACACUAAUCUGCAUAGGACUAAGUUCAUAUUUUCCCUCUUUCUUUUUAUGUUAAAAACCACAUGAGUUUGACACUGAUUACUACCACCACAAGUCAUUUAACUUCUUCAACUGCCUCAUACUUUUCACAAGAAACUGCGUCAUACAAAUUAACCCAUAAUAAAGCUAUCCAAAUUUCGAACCCCAUCUGAUUGGUUUAUGAAAUCAGUAACUCUCAUGGAAGGAAAAACUUGGACAGACUGAUGCAGAAAUUGAGAAAUGAAAGUUUGAAAAAGAUUCUUACAUCUUUGUCUAUUAGAAAAAAAAAUUGAUUUCUUGUACUAGAAUCAUUGUUCCCUGCCAUUCUCGAAACAACCUGAAUAGUCAUGUUAAGAACACCGAGCCCUGCACUAAAGUUUAAAGAGGGGAAAAAACAGCAUGUUGAAACAAAUGAAGGUUAAAUCAAAAGGAUUGAACUAUAGUUUCCAAAGUUUUCAUUUAUCUUAUAUUCACGUAAUAGUAAUAGUAAUUCCUCUUUCAAACAACCACUUUUGUUUCAACAAAGAGGACAAGGCUUAUAAUCCCUAAAUCGUUAGCAGUAUUGCUAUUUGGAGAAAAUGUUUAAGUUAAACAGCUGACAAUACCUUCCAGCCCCUACCACUACUAUCUUUUCGUUAACAAAAUCACUCAAUGGCAGCCCUUGAGCUCUUACAGUUCCCAAUAGUCCAACGAGAGCAACAGCAGCAGUUCCCUUUAUGAAAUCAAAUAAACGAAAAUGAAUGUCCUUUUAAGUAAUUAUCAACUGCAUGAAUACAUCAUCAACUGCAUGAAUACAUCAUCAACUACUCACUUGUAUGUCAUCGUUGAACAUGCAGAACCUCUUACGAUAACAUUGUAAUGUUUCAAAAGCCCAUUUCAUUUGAAAAUCCUCAAACUGGCAUCAUUCAAAAUCAAAUUACGAGAUUACAAUACUGAUUACUCGCAGUGAACACAGUUAAAAUUUGAUAUCUUAACCAAUAAACCUGAACAAUAGCUUUAGGCCAACAUGUAUGCACGACUUCCAUAAAAUCAUCAACAAUUGAUAGAUACUCUUCUCCCUCCAAUCUAGGUAUUCCUAUUCCCUGAACUCGAAGGUCACCGAGGCCAAGAAUACGACGUCCAUCUGUCAAGACAAUCAUGUCAACCUGUAGUUGGAAGAAGAAAAUACAAUGAACUUCAAAUAUGGUGUUGCUGGAAAUUAAAAGGGAUUUUCAUUUUUAUUUUGCUCAAAAUCAAUGCUCUUGAGCUUUUAAUGUCCCGAGGAAGGUGAAAGUUUCCCAAUAUAUCGUGUAUGGAAGUUUAAACUUUUCAAAGAAAACAAGGGUGAUCAACAUACAAAAGCCUCAUGUGGAUAGAAAAUUAAUCAAACAAAAAUUCGAUUGUUCUGUAGCAGUUUGACUUUGUUGUCAAGGAAAUUAAGAGUGAUAAGAUGGCGAGGGAGUGACUUUGAGUGGUGGCAAUUCGACAGCCAAGCAACUACACUCAAAGUUGCAGGUCGAAUAGGCAGCAGGAAGAAACGAACGAAGAAGAAGAAGAAGAAAAGUUUUCGAUCUAUCAAACGUGAUCAUCAUACAAUAGAAAGUCAUUUAAAUUAUCCAAAUAUAUUUUGAAGUAAUUUUAACAUUUUCAAAAUAACUCUUAAUCAUGCUCUAAAUAUGGAAUGAAUUAUCUAUCCAACUACAAAUACAAUAGUUUUUCUAAAAUCACUCUAACUAAUUAUACAAAUUCCACAACACAUAGAUCUCAUGCUUCCCAAGAACCCACAAAAUUGUUCAAUGCGGCAUUUCAUCAAACAGUUGGUGGAUGGAGACAACAAAAACAAGUGUUUAACAAAAUUAUCUUAGAAACAAACACAUUAAUAUUACCUGAAGAUGGAACUCCAAUUGAACAGCCUUGAACAAGUGAUGGAGAAACCAACAGAACAUAAAGAUUGUGGGACUCCUCAACUCCAAUAAAUCCUGCAAUGGAAAAAUGGGUUAGAAGGUGGAAAAGCAUAGUAGAGGAUUAUGAUAAUGAAAAUGGGUAGUGAUGUUUUUCAGUAGCUAUCUUUUUCUUCUUUUUUUAUUCAUGUUGUUGAUGGUUGUUCUUGACUGUCUUUAUCUUUUUUUUUUCUUUUUCCUUUUUUACAUUUGGGAAAAAACAGUUUGUUGACUAAGAGGUGAUGAUGCUGGUGAGGGAAUUUAUUAAAGUAAUGAAUACUUUUUGGAGGACUUAAACAAGUAAAAGGACGAAAUGAAGCAAGCUCAAGCAACAAAUUUUCUGUUAAGUAAGCAUAAAUAUUAACUAGAGGCUUAAAUAAAAUAUUUCACCACCACCACCACAACAACAAAAAGCCCAGAUAUAUCGCCAUUGACAACAGAAACAGAGCAAUAUAAGCACAAUAUAUUACAAGGAAAAUAUGGAGAUAAAAGACAUGAAGGUUUCCCUUUCACUUACAAAGAGGAUCAUUAAGUAACUUCUCGUUGUUAGAACCAAUAUCUAGCAUUACUUGAAAAAUCUGUCAAUUAAACAAGAGUAAACUUAAUGAAAUUCAGAAAGUGGGGUUAAGAAAAGUUGCUAAAAAAAUGUCACCAUUAAAUGAUAUUAAUAUUCUUAGAUAGUCUACAAAUUUCAUGAAGAAAAGACAACAGACUUGAGAGUUACCCCCACUAUCAGGAAUACUUGCUUGAACGGGAAAAAGAUAUCGGCAAAUUCUAAACACGGCACAAUAAACUCUCACUCUCCUGGUUCUUGCUUAAAAUCACAUGUACAUGUCAUUGCCGAUAGUGCCUCUUUCACUGAAACAAACAAAAUUUCACUGAAACAAACAAAAUUUCAGUACCAAUUAAGAUGCAGAAAAUAAGGUAUUUAAGAUGCAGAAAAUAAGGUAGUUAAGAUGCAGAAAAUAAGGAAACACCCCACAUCACUACAGUGCAUAACAAAUCUAUCACAUAAGCACAAAGACAAACACAAAAAGGACAUAAGCUUAUUCUCAAAUUUCAGUACAUAUACUCAUCAAAAUUCAGAAUCUCACGUCACAAACCCGAGCUUAGUGCUCAAGGGUUGACAGUCAUGCCUUUUAUGCAAGAUCUAAGAAGCUAUGAUGCUCAUUAUUGUAAUGAAAAACUUUUGAAAAUUUUUGAAAUUUGAGCAAAAUUUGAAAUCCCCCAAGUUUAGACUAAACAAGCGAGCUAUUAUCCACCCUUCGCUUAAAAAAUUGCUUGGAAGUUGCCCAACAUGAGAAGAGAAAACUAUCUGAAUGUAGGCAAUCCUAUAAACAAUUAAAACAAUAGCCACAACUGAUUGAAAUCAAGUUGGAUAAACAACCAUUUGAUGAAGGGAGGGCGUUGAGCUUGUCUAAGAAAAAUAUACUCUUUAAGGGUUUAUGCCAGCAGCAGCAACAUACAUAUCCAGCUUUCCUAUAGGUAUUCCUAUUCCCUAAACUCCAAGGUCACCAAGGCCAAGAAUACGACUUCCAUCUGUCAAGACAAUCAUGUCAACCUGUAGUUUGAAGAAGAAAAUACAAUGAAGUUCAAAAAUAUAUAUAUAUCUACAAAGCAUAACAAUUAUCCCAUAGCUGAAAGAAAUAAUAUUUGUUAUGCUAUGUAUAUAAUUCACAAAUUAAUAGACCAUCAUCUCAAUGUACAAAUUGUGUGAAGCUAAGGUCUCUGAAACAACUUAAAGAGGAUUGAAGAAGAGUACCAGAAGUUUUUCAUUAGCCAUCAACCCAGGAAAUAAAUGAAGCAUCAAGCAUGUCUAAUAAACUGAACUGGGUCCUCAAUAUGUAACACAAAUUACACAAAAAUCUAGGGAGCGAGGAUAUGAUUUAGAUCCUUAAAAUACUUAGAGGUUUGAGAGAGAAUCAAAAUAACUUAUUGCAUUCACUAAAGAAAUAUAUAUACAAGAUGUUCUUUGUAAACUUAAUCCUCAGUUUAUCCAAGACCCAAUGGUUAAUUGAUUCAAUAGAUGUUCUUCUAAAAGAACCAAACUGGAAGUUUUUCAACAAAUAUGUGAGUGAUGAAACCGGAACAACAUAGCUAUCCAAAAGUGAAGUUUCCCAUCAUUUUUUUAUGGGCUUUUUCUGAUGUAUAAUGCAUAUGUUUGUUUUAUUUUAGCUCUUAAUUGUCUCGCUGUUUUAAGUUUUACAUUUGCAAGUCUCUCUUUUCUUUCUUUGGUACGGACACAAUAACCGGUGGGGUAACCUUUCUAUGGUUCUAGACUUAGUUUCUAAGUUUGACUGCUCCCUUCAGAGUGACAACAAGCCUCAUUUUCCUCCUACUAUGGAACGGGGAGGAUUCCCCCUCUUUUCAAAGCCCUCGUCAAACUCAAUGCUAAGUUUGAUUGCUCCCUUCGGAGUGACAACAAGCCUCGUUUUCCCCUAGUGUGGGACGGGGAUGAUUCCUCCUCUUUUCAAAGCCCUCAUCAAACUCGAUGCUAUGACUAGAACACUAAGAGUAGGUGGUCUGGUUUUGCUUAGGCCAUAAGUGAAGUUUCCCCUCAUUUUUUUAUGGGAUUUUUCUGAUGUAUAAUGCAUAUGUUGUUUGUUUGUUUUUUAGCUCUUAAUUGUCUCGCUGUUCUACGUUUUACAUUUGCGACCAUCUUUUUUGUUUCUUUGGUAUGCACACAAGAACCGGUGGGGUAACCUUUCUAUGGUUCUAGACUUAGUUUCUAAGUUUGACUGCUCCCUUCGGAGUGACAACAAGCCUCGUUUUCCCCUACUAUGGAACGGGGAGGAUUCCUCCUCCUUUCAAAGCCCUCGUCAAACUCAAUGCUAAGUUUGACUACUCCCUUCAGAGUGACAACAAGCCUCGUUUUCCCCCUAGUGUGGAACGGGGAGGAUUCCUACUCUUUUCAAAGCCCUCAUCAAACUCGAUGCUAUGUCUAGAACGCUAAGAGUAGGUGGUCUGGUUUUGCUUAGGCCACAAGUGAAGUUUCCCCUCAUUUUUUUAUGGGAUUUUUCUGAUGUAUAAUGCAUAUGUUGUUUGUUUGUUUUUUAGCUCUUAAUUGUCUCGAUGUUCUACGUUUUACAUUUGCAACUAUCUCUUUUGUUUCUUUGGUACGCACACAAGAACCGGUGGGGUAACCUUUCUAUGGUUCUAGACUUAGUUUCUAAGUUUGACUGCUCCCUUCGGAGUGACAACAAGCCUCGUUUUCCCCCUACUAUGGAACGGGGAGGAUUCCUCCUCUUUUCAAAGCCCUCGUCAAACUCAAUGCUAAGUUUGACUGCCCCCUUCGGAGUGACAACAAGCCUCGUUUUCCCCCUAGUGUGGAACGGGGAGGAUUCCUCCUCUUUUCAAAGCCCUUAUCAAACUCGAUGCUAUGUCUAGAACGCUAAGAGUAGGUGGUCUGGUUUUGCUUAGGCCACAAGUGAUGUUUUCCCUGAUUUUUUUAUGGGAUUUUUCUUAUGUAUAAUGCAUAUGUUGUUUGUUUUUUUUGGCUCUUAAUUGUCUCGCUAUUUUACGUUUUCUAUUUGCAACUAUCUCUUUUGUUUCUUUGUUACGCACACAAGAACCGGUGGGGUAACCUUUCUAUGGUUCUAGACUUAGUUUCUAAGUUUGACUGUUCCCUUCGGAGUGACAACAAGCCUCGUUUUCCCCUACUAUGGAACGGGGAGGAUUCCUCCUCUUUUCAAAGCCCUCGUCAAACUCAAUGCUAAGUUUGACUGCUCCCUUCGGAGUGACAAUAAGCCUCGUUUUCCCCCUAGUGUGGAACGGGGAGGAUUCCUCCUCUUUUUCAAAGCCCUCAUCAAACUCGAUGCUAUGUCUAGAACGCUAAGAGUAGGUGGCCUGGUUUUCGUUAGGCCAAAAGUGAAGUUUCCUCUCAUUUUUUUAUGGGCUUUUUCUUAUGUAUAUUGCAUAUGUUGUUUGUUUUUUUAGCUCUUAAUUGUUUCACUGUUUUAUGUUUGCAAGUCUCUCUAUUCUUUGUUUGGUAUGCAAUGUGGUAACUAGGUCUUGCUAGAACCGGUGGGCUAACCUUUCUAUGGUUCUACACUUAGUUUCUAAGUUUGACUGCUCCCUUCGAAGUGACAACAAGUUUUGUUAAUGUCCACCCUUUUCUAGAGGGAUUUAGUUCAUUGUGGCUAGACAAACGGCUCCUAACUCAUGUUAUUUGUUAAAACCAUCUCAAUUUCUAAAGAGUACCUCCUAUCCUUUUUUAACUCUAUCUAUGCUAGGUUUGGACCAAGUGCAUCAUAGGUAAGUCACAGCAACGCAACAAAGGAAGACAAAGCUAGAAAAGUAUCCAUGCAAUCAAGCAUUCACAACACACAUACCAUUUUCUCAAUCAUGCAUUCACAUCUGAACAAGAUAUCGCUAACAUCUCAAUAAGAUAUCGCUAAAAAGGGACGUAAACCAAAAAAGACGGCAGCUUAUGCUCAAAUUUCAGCACAUAUAAUCAUCAACAUUCAUAAUUUUACAUCACAAACCCAAGUUCAGUGGUCAAGGGUUGUUAGUCAUGCUUUUUAUGCAAGAUCUAAGUAAGCUAAUAAGGUAUAAUGCUCCUUAUUGUAAGGAAAUUUUUUUUAGAAAUUUAGAAAUUUGGGCAAAAUUUGAACCCCAAGUUUCGACUAAACAUGCAAGCUUUUGAAAAUCAAAGUAAAGAGAGAAAAAUAAGGGGGAACUUUGGACUCCCCUAGAAGGAUCGACGUCCUUGACUUUUGUUUGAAGCUUGCAUGGAUAAACCUCUUCAUUUCUUUUCCAUUGAUUAAUUAUCCUUGUUCCUGAAAAUCAAAGGAAAUUCUCUCAAUUUCAUUUAUUACUAAAAUUAGGAUAAUUAUAGUAACGGUAUUUUUAACUCUUUUGGUAGUUUACGUCUUGAGUGUGUUUUCAAUGGUAUUUUUAUAUAAAGUACAAAGUUUAGGGGUAUUCUGUAUAAUGGAACCUCUUUGACAAAAAAAAAAAAAAAUUUAAACCCAUGAAGUCUAACUAACCGAACACAAUUAGAUUUCUAGUAGCAGUAAUUUACCACAGAAACAGAAAUCAAAGGUUAGAAAAUAAUUUAAUGGCAUUUCUAUAAAUUUAUCACAUGAUCUUUCUUCUUCUUUUUUUUCUUUCCUUUUUUGAUAAAGCUCUAACCAUGUAGUUAAGCUUCUACCUGUAGCAGUUAAUUAAAAUAGAGACAUAAACUAUAGAUUAACAAACAAUUGGAAGGCCUCUCGAUCAAUUUAAUACACAAUAAGUUCAUACUUAUGUCUUUUUGGAAGUAUAAAAAAUGAAAAAUCGCUAUUUUCCCAAAACGAAACCUCUUCAUUCCUCUUUCGUCGAUUAUUCAUCCUUGUUCUUCAAACCUCAAGCCUUAAAAUUGAGGAAGUAGAGGAAAUUCUCUCAAUUUACUUCAAAGGAAGGAUCAUGUUCUCUCCUACAAAUGGUGUCUUUCUAAUUUUCAUAACUUUAUGACUUAAUAUGGCAGUGUUGUAUAAUGCAAAUCCAUAUAGAAGAAACACCAUUUACAGCACAGCCAAGGAAAAUGAAGAUUCAAUAUCUUUUUCAAAAAACGCUCUAUCUCAUUUGCACUUAUUUCUCUCUUCUUCUUCCACGCUCAAUGAAGAAAACCCUUAAUGAAGAAAAAAAUAAGAAAUCAACCCUAAACCCCUCAACCCAACAUCCUGGUGUGCUUUCUCAAUCUACAUCCUUCUCAAUGAAACAUACUGAUGUGCUUUCUUAAUCUACAUCCUUCUCAAAGAAAUGAAUUGAAAAAUCUCUAAAAGUUUCCUCAUCAAACAAUACCAUGCAACAAUGUUUAAAAAGGAUAGUAAAAAGGAAGAACAAUGACGUAAUGGUGUUUAAAGAGAAUGGUAAAAAGGAACAAAGAUGGUGAGAAGAAAUUUAUUUUCAACUUAACCAUGAAGAACAGUUCAACAAAAAAUAAAUAAUAAAAUAAAGGCACUUGGGAAAGCAACAAACCUGCUUCUGUAACUCAAGAAGCUGCCGCUCUUUCUCAUGAAUGUGUUCUUCAAGUUCAUGCAAAUGUUUUAUUUGCUAAGCUCUUUCAGCUUCAGAAUGAUCAUGUUCCUCCUACAAAUGAUAUGUUUCUAAUUUUCAUAACUCAAUGACUUAAUAUGGCAGUCUUGUAUAAUACAAAUCCGUAAUAGAAGAAACACCACUUACAGCAGAGCCAAGAAAAAUGAAGAUUGUGUGUAAUGUACUGCAAUAAAAUUAAAAUACUAAAGAAUGUGUUAGGAUGUUAGCGUAAGCAAAAAGUAAAAUCAAUGGCAAAAGAAGGGAAAAAUUGAAGGGCAUCAACAAAAAAUGUAAACCUUUAAGUUGCUAUUUCCUUAUCUUGUUCCUGCAGAAGAUCAUCCUUGGCCCAAGCCUAUGAAGAAAUUAUAGAAUAAAAGGGUUGGUGAAGAAAAAAACAGAUCAUUGCAAAACAUUCUUAUGCAAGCAAAUCAAGCAUGAGGGGGAAAAAAAAACACACCGCGUCGUUGUCUAAUUUAAUUGAUUGCAAUUCCCUAUCUUUAUCUUCUAUUUUCCUUUCCAGUUUGAGAAUAGCCUGGUGUCUUUCACAUAGCCUGUUCCUGUACAGCCACAAAAUGUCUCAUUGAAGUAUUAAAGUAGACCGCAUCUAAAUAGUGAUUUGCCUAAUUCUUCAAAAAUAAACAUUAAGUUUUGAGUUGUGGCAAUAUGAACUAGGAUCUCCUUUACAAUUGUGCUCUAAAGAUAUUGAAGACAAUUUAUAGAAUAAAUCAAUCUUAUUAAUGAUAAUAAUAGAAUUAGUAAUGACGAUAUUACAUAUCCUUUAAAAUUUUUUGUUAAGUGAAAAUUAUGAGGUUUCUUUCCGCUUUUGUGUGUUCUCAUGUUUAAUUGUACUUUAUCGUACCAAUUUAGAAUUUUAAAAUGUUUUUAAUUCACUAUUUGAGGCUUCAUCUUGCCUCUUCAAGUCAAAAUACCUCACAGCCUGCCUUUGUUGAGUUAUUUUCUAUUGAAUAAUAGAUUGUGUUUUCUUUUUUGGUCAAGAGACCAAAGUAGAUUAGUUUACAAUUAGAAACAAAAAGGUGGAUUUCGAUUUCCCAUAAUAAACAAUAAGAGUGGAUCACCAACAAGUCAUAAACCUACUAUCAUUUAUGUUCCACUUGAUCCAAACAUAACAAACAAAAAUGAAAGGUUUGGACUUACUUGAGAAUUAGUGUUGAAAAAAGAUAGUUGUAUGACCUUUGUUAGCAUAGGAGUAACAACUUGAAAAUGCAUCAAGAAUCUACAAAAUUAUUUAACAUUAGUAGUUAAGAAUGCAGAAAAUAAGGAAACACCCCACAUCACUACAGCGGAUAACAAAUCUGCCACAUAAGCACAAAGAUAUAAAUACUGAGAGUAUUAUUUGAAACUUAGCAAACUCAAACAGGACACUGAUUUGUAGCUAUGCCUGAGGGAAAAAUAAAUCAUGAACACUGAUUUCAACUCCAAGAUGCUUCUAAAAGGCUUGUCUUACACCGAUUGAGGCAAGUCCUUGCUAAACUUUCUCUUUCUUGUAUCUUUUUCAAAAAACGCUCUAUCUCAUUUGCACUUAUUUCUCUCUUCUUCUUCCACGCUUAAUGAAGAAAACCCUUAAUGAAGAAAAAAUAAGAAAUCAACCCUAAACCCCUCAACCCAACAUCCUGGUGUGCUUUCUCAAUCUACAUCCUCCUCAUUUUUUUUAUGACAAAUCUUUAAUUAACGAAAUUCAAGUAAAGAAUAGGUUUGCUUUCAAGUAAUCCUCUGAUUAGGUUUACCUCAUUAAAGAAUUCAUCUGCAUCUGCCCACUGUCCGCUAACUUCAUCGACACAUAAUCUUCUGUAUUAUAUUAUCCCCUUCAUCUCCGUCCUUGGAUGGCGGCAGCAAGAGCACUACCACCUGAAAAUCACAGAGACAGUUCACACUAGGCAAAACUUCCAAACUUGAAUCUUAAACUAAAAACUGUCACUACACCACCGAAAUUAAGACAAAUAAUCCAAAACCCCCAUAAUCACACCACAACACGUAAAGUACCUUCACACCCGAAUCAGACAAUCCAGAGAUGGAAUUCUCAGGAACGGUCUUCAUACCUCUCGCUUAAGUGGGUUAGAAGAGGGAGGCCCGCUUCCACCUAGCCAGCGAGGGUUUGGAAUCAGGAACCAUGGAGUCGGGAUCUGACGGUGAUGGUGGAACAAAAGGACUUUGGAAGACGAAUUGGGUUUCCGAGGGGUCUGCCGCUCUUGAUUCCGGCGCCGUUAGGGCUAGGAGAAGACGAUGGCGUGGAUCGGCAAGAUGGGCAACUCACAGAGAGCGAAAGAGAAUGAGAGAGGAAGAGGAAGUAGAGAGAGUUACCGUUGGAAGAAGGAUGGGGAAUUAUAAAAAAUAGGAUAAUUUUGAAGGAUGUAAAGAGAUUUGAGAUGAAUUUUAAAAAUUAUGACUGUUAGGACAAAUUAGUUGGAAAAAGUCUAUAUUACCCUCAAGUUAAAAAAUAUCCUCAAAUCAAUUUAUGAAUCCUCUCUUCUCCUUCUCCCUCUAUUUUUCCACUUUCUAAAAAUAUUUCAUUUUUCUCUCAUCCCUUCUUGUAUUUCAUUUUCCCUCAUUUUCACAAAAUUUCCUUUUUCUUCCUUUUCCAUUCUUUAAUUCGUUUUCUUGAAAUUCCUUUCUCAAACUCCUCCCAUGGUCUCCCACCGGCCUUUGAAAACCAUGUCGUUCCUUAUCACCUCAUUCUUUGCCUUUUUCAAGCUUCUUCCUUUCUUGAAAUCAAAUCCUCUUUCAUAGAAGUCAUUUAAGCUCUCACAGCUCGUUGUCAUGGUUGUCUCCCACUAUGUAUCAUCUUCGAUAUCUUUCUUAGUUGGACUACGUAGCCAAACAACUCGACAUCUACCACACAAUGUUUAGCGGCAUUGGAGGUUUUUGCCUAGCUUGCUAUGUCUCUCUUUGGCUCAACCUUCCUCACCGGAACGUCGUCGCCCACGACAUUCUCUGUCAGAUUUUAAAGAAGGUAUCGUUCAGCUCCAUAAGACCUAAUUGUCGACUAACAUCGCGGAAGCAAAUGGUGAAGAUGGUUGGUCGAUUUUUCAAAAUCUGUCUAUUUUAGAAACUUGCAGGUUGUUACUGUAGCUAAAAUUGAGCAAUAAUUUAAAAAUUUUGGUAGAUUUCUACCUAAUGAUGUGUAUUUAUUAGGUCUCGGAGGCCCUUGUUUUUGAUUAUUUGUUUGGAUUGGCUCACAUGGAUGGUUCUUGAUGCAUUUGUUGGUGGUGCCAUGAAUAGGAAGGGAAAGAGGGAGAGGUAGUUACCAGUCAGAUGCUCCUAAGGGACGGUUUGGUUCUCAUAGUUUGGGUCGAGGAAGUAGCCAAGAUGCCUAUGGUCAGUUGAGAGGCAACGGUUUCCCUCAGUGGUAUCACAAGGUUCAAUAGUAAUGUUAAUUUGUGGGGAAUUGAUUAUCAAGAUAAGAUGGUACUUUUCCCCCUUAGAUGGUUUUUAAGAUGCAAUUCAAGUGGAAAUUUUUUGACAUUUCAAGUACAAGCACUAGUUAGACAAUGGGAGGGAAAUAGACUUGAGAGAUGAAGACCCUUUUCAUUAAAUUUUACCCUUUUGUAGUAGUUCCGUAGUCAUUAGGUGAAUAUUGUUGCCAUUUUACAAUCAAAUAAUGUAUAAUUGAGUGAGCAUCUUGCCAAAUAAAUGAACAAUUUAGAUCCUUGAAUGCCAUUUUUUCAUCAUGCUUUAUAGUGAGAUUUCGUUAAUCAAAAUCAAUGAACAACUUGAUUUAUGAGAUGUUUGAAUUUUGAAGUUUAGUUUGAAAAAAAAAACUCAUGUGUUGUGUAUAGUUGUUUUUCAAGGAUAACGUUGGAUCAUGAUACAUGUAAGUCUUUCGAUAUGUAACAAUAUCAUAGUGGAGUAUGGAAAAAAAAUUAAGUGAAUUUAUUUUAUGUUUUAGUUAUUUUUCUAAUUUUACAAACAUAUAUAUCCCUUUUAAGUGGGUCUAUUCCGCACGCAUCUCAAACCUAUCUCACAACAUUUUGCACAUUUCAAACUUUCACUAUGAGUUUCACAAUCAAAUUGCUACCGCUUCUAAGUUAUCUCGCACACAUCUUGCACCCAUCUCGCACCUUUCUCGUACACAGGUUAAUUUGUCCUAAAUGUCCUAAAUCUUGCACCUAUCUCGCACCUAUCUCCUACCUUUUCUUCUUCUUAAUUUGCUUUCGUCAAUUUGUGCAAUUCAUUCUCAAAUCUUUCUUACUCCAUUUGUCACUGACCAUCAGGUGCAAUGGAGCAACAAAGCAAACAGCAAAGAGUGAAAGCAAAAGAAAAAGGUCAAUUCUCACAUAAUUAUUUUUAACAUUCUACUUCCACCAUAAGAAAAAUUGCCAUAACAAUUCAUGUGAAGCAUACCUUGAUCUUCAAUGCUCGAUUCUUGCAUGCUUAUCUUGAUACUCGUUUCUUAUUUUUUGAUUGCUCAACUUUAAUUUCUAUCAAUAUGAUAGAGUGGGAAUCAAGAACAAGUAGCAAAAGCGAGCAAGUGUCAAGUCAUCACGAGCUAUAACAAGAUUAAGUUGCAAGAAUCAACUAUUAAGAGUUGUCAUACAUAUUUGUUAUUGGUAAUUUCACUUAUAAUAGCAAAUGCAAAAAAAAAUCUAAAAUAUGGAUCCUUUUUAAAUUUUAAUGGAUGAUCCAUCAACAUUCGAAAUUUAUCGAACUUUGUGUCCACAAAAACAUUGUGCCAUCUAAAAAAAAUCUUAUAUACAUGACGUCCUUGAUAUUCUAAAAAAGAAAGUUUGAAGACUUCAAAUAUAUGUGUAAAUCUUAUAUACUCUAAAAGAUAUUUUCAAGGCCUAUAUACACAUAUACACAUGUACACUGUAGUCAAGUAGGCUUGGUUGGAUGUUAUUGUGACUGUACGAAAUCAAUUAGAGAACUUUGAGAUGGGUUUUUGAUGUUGUAUUGAAGUGAGUUCAAUCAAAGCUUGGAAAAAGCUUUCUUACGCGAAGGUAAGGGGGCGGUCAUACACUCAAUUGAGGGGAGUAUAAGUACAUUAUAUUGAUGGGAUCCAUACAAAGCUUGAAGAAGAGAGUAAUGUAGGAGUGAGGAGGGAGAAGUUAAAGUUAAAACUAAAGAAUAAGCUAUACAGAUAAAUACUCCAUUGUAAUUUAACUCUUUAUAAGUUGAUUUUUUUUUUCUAUUAGGGCAUACAAUCCUCCAAAUAGUAAGUAAUAUUGCACUAAACGAGUUAUGAAUAUUUUCGUCUCACAAUCUCUUUGUUCUUCUUUGAUAUUAUGUUAUUAUAUUUGUCGGCAAUUUUGUUACGCAACCAUACCCUAUUUCUUAGUCAUCUCUAAAAACAUCUCUUUUUUUCCAUAUAUUGACUUUUCUAUGUAAUUUCUUUUCAAAGUGCAUUUAAGAACUAAGUCCCGUAAUUUAAUUUGCCACUAAAACCACUUACUUGAACAAUUGAUUCAUUCGUGAGAGAAAAUUAAAAUUUAAUCGAAGGAAGAACUUUUUUUAAAAAAACAAAAAAAGAAAAAGUUAAUAUAUUUCAAAAAAAGAGUAGGUAAGAUUUAGAGAACGUGUUUUAGGUCGGUCAAAGAAAUUAUGUUUUGAUCUCGAUUAAAUUUAUUUUUUUAGUACAAUAAAGAUCAAAAGAUGUGAACUACAAUUUUUUUGGUCACAACUCAUCGACACAUUUAUAUUAUCCAUAAUAUGAUACUUAACUAUUUUACUAUUCAAAGCAAUCAAAUUUACAUAGGAAUCUUUUUGUAAGAAUGAUUUGUUCACGAGGUCUUUUACGAUUAAUAAACUCGUCCCGUCGUAAAGGAUUCUAACAUUUUUCUUACAUCAUAGUGCACUACUACAUUUUAUAACGCGAUAACCAUUCCUAUUACGGUUUUAGAUGAGAAAAAUGAAAGAAUGUGCUAGAGAUGAUCGUCAAGUUAAGGCCAUGUGUACAUUAUAAAAAGCAAUAGUGUGUUCUAAGGAUAAGUAUAAGUUUGUGAGGGAGAAGUGUUACAUGGGAAAUUAACAAAAAAAUAGGAUAAUUUUUAAGGGUUUAAAAAGUUCUAGGAUAAAUUUUAAAAAAUAUGACAUUUAAGACAAAUUAACUAGGAAAAGUCUAUAUUACCCUUUGGUUAUAAAAAAACCUAAAAAGCAAUUUAUGGAAUUCCUUCUUUUUCCUCCAUUUUCUCACUUCCAAAAAGAAUAUUUCAUUUUUCUCUCAUCUCUCCCUGUGCGUAUUCCAUUUUUCCUCAUUAUCACAAAACCUUUGAUUUCUUUUUUCUUCCUUUCCCAUUUUUCAUUCACAAAACUACAAAAACAAUGAUAGUUUCGGUGAUUUCAUUGUGGAACAUUCACAAAGAUGUGUAUGAGAUAGGUGUGCGAGAUGUGUACGAGAUAGGCUAAGAGGGAUUAAAGAAAAGUUCAAUCAGUUUACAAGCCUAGAGGAUUAAUAGUGGAGAAGAAAUGGAUGGAAGAGAAGAAACGUAGGCACCAAAAGUUGAAGGAAGGAAAAAGAAAAGAGGAAGGAGGAAAUUAAAUGAGAGUAUUUUCGUCAUUUCACCUCUAAUUUGUCCUAAAUGUCAACUUUUUUACAAUCAAUCCUAAAAAUCUUUAUCUACCUCAUCUUUUGCCUAUUUUUGUCAAUUCCCCAAGAAGGAUGGGGAAGAAAUUUGACGGGGAAUUGCCAAGAAGAGUACAAAUUUGACCACAUUUAAGACUUUUGUGACCAAAUUUUAAAAAGAAGAGUUUUGGGACAAAUGGGUAUGUGAAAUAUCUAAAUUACCCUUUAGUUUAAAAAAGCUCUAAAAUUUUGAAACCCACGAUUUCUCCUCACGCAACACAUAUUAUGCUGCUCGCAGGUGACUCCAUUUACAGAGAUAACAAAUCCCAACCAACAAACGGAGACAAUCGAUCAGAUGGAGUGGCGAUGACUUGGGUAGCAACGACAUCUAUUGGGCGACUUGGACAACAACAACAAUUUCUAUGGAUUGUGUGUCAACAAUUUCUAUAUCUUUCUUUACAUAGAUUUUUUUCCUCAUUUUUAUUGCUUAUAUGUUACUUAUGUAUACCAGGUAGGAAAUUUGGUUGCUCUAGUUGAAGAUUGGACAACUAGUGGAAAGCAAGUAUCAAACAACGCUUGAUGGCUUAUUAAAAGCAAAAGAUAUGGACACACAUGGUGUAAUUAGCUUUAGGGUAGGCAUUACAGAAACUGGAGUUAUUGUUUUGUAUUUAUAUUGAACUUAUGUCGAACCAUUUAAUUGUAUUCUUGAAGUUGAUCAUUUGUGAUAUAGAUAUUAUAAUCGAUGUAGUUGAGAAGAAUUUUGUUCUUUCAUUAUCUUUAAUGUAUUAUUCCAACCCUUACUAGAUAGGUGCGAGAUGUGUACGAGACAGUAGGGAUAACAAUUUGAUUUUGAAAUUAUUAGUAAAAGUUUUGAAAAUGUGCAAGAUAGGUGUGAGAUGUGUACGAGAUAGGUGCGAGAUGUGUACGAGAUGUGUACGAGAUAGGCUAAAAGGGAUUAAAGAAAAGUUCAAUCAGUUUACAAGCCUAGAGGAUUAAUAGUGGAGAGUUGUGGAGAAGAAAUUGAUGGAAGUGGAAAAGAAAUGGACGGAAGAGAAGAAACAUUCACCGGAGGCACCAAAAGUUGAAGGAAGGAAAAAGGAAAGAGGAAGGAGGAAAUUAAAUGAGGGUAUUUUCGUCAUUUUACUUCUAAUUUAUCCUAAAUGUCAACUUUUUUACAAUCAAUCCUAAAAAUCUUUAUCUACCCAUUUUUGGCCUAUUUUUGUCAAUUCCCCAACUUUGACGGAGAGGGUUUUGUAUAAAAGGCAAUAAUAAUAAUUCCUAUUCUUUUUAAUAUUAUUUAUUAAUAAAAAUAAUUAAAAGUUUAAAUAAUCCAUCACACAUAUACUUCUUAUCAGUUAUUAGAAUUAAAAAAAAAAAGUCAACAAAUAAAAUUUAUAAAAUUAUCAUACAUCAAGAACAAAAAAAAAUACAUUUGUGAAAUAAAAAAAAAUGUAUAAAAGAUAAAAAAUGAAUCACCUUAAUUUUAAUAAUAUUUUAUAUCUUAUCUCGAAAGAUAUAAAAAAUAUUAAAAUGUAUCUAUCUCGAAAUAGGUUUUCAACUACGUCCCAAGUGGAAUAAAAAAUUGUUACCAAACUCUUAAAUAUAGAAUUUCAUAAUCUCUCCAUAAUUUGUAUGUUAGUAUGAGUUUGUAGGGUGUGUUUGUCCCAUGAAGUUAGAAGUAGUGUAUAAAAGUUGAAGUUGUAAAAUCCAGUUCUUGUUUGACUUAAAUAGUUGGCGGAUCAUUAUUAGAAAUUUAAUUCUAAGCACUCUACUUGUCCAACAUUACAAUUUAUUCAAUUAGAUAGUUAAAAAAAAUGACGUCACAAGGUUCUUUAUUAAUGUCCCUACAAUUCCUUCUUCCAUCUAAUGCUACAAAUAUGAACAAUCAGCAUUCACGAAAGGACAAAAAUUGAACUACAUACAGUACAACAAGAAAACAGAUAAAGUCAAAGCCAAAGUACAUUGUAUUGAUGCCAAACUUGUUUACGAAGCUCAUGAAAUAGAAGUUGAUGCAGACCAUUGGUUGUUUCACACCAACUACUUUUCUAUAGAAAAAUAGCUUACCCAUAAAUUAAGAGACAAUAACCGAGGAGAGCAUAGAAGUUGGAAGGUAUUUACAUUGUUGUUGAUGCAAAGAGAUAGUAAGCAGAGGUUGUUAGAGGAUGUGGAACUUAAGAUCUACAGUAUGGUGGAUAAAUUAUUUGGGUCAACAGUAAUAUUUCAGAGUUUGGAAUGGUGAAAAGAGUUUAUAUACUGUGAUAUUCCAUUCAAUGCACUUACCAUAAAAACGAGGUAGAAGAAAGGAAGAAGAAAGACUAACCUUGAAUCAUUAGCUUCAAGUGUCUAACAGUAGCAGAGGAUGGGCUGGUAGACGACGAACCCUAAGCAAAACCAAUGUGGACGACGGUGAGAGAUCAGCAUGUUGUUGUGAAACAAUCGUGAGAGGCAGGGUAUCGCAGUCGUCGUGUUGGGUUUCAACGUGGCUUUCGUAGUCGUGCUAGAGCGCACUAGAGAGCAAAAUGAAUUAGAUUGAAAGAGGCCGAAAAUGGGGGAAAAUAUUUAGAGGGAACUUAAAUAUUUAUUUCCCGCUUUUUCUUUGUUGUUCUUUUCCACAUCCCAUUUAAAAUAAUGGGCUAUUAAAAGUUCAUUUUGGUGUAGUGCUAUUUGUGUCUCGAUCGUCCAUUUUCGUUCAAACUACUUUAAAGAUACAAGUAUGAUAACCAACAACACGAUCGAAAGAAUUGGUCUAUGCAACUUCAACCUACGUGGCUUUAUCAGGUUCACACACACAAUGAGUGACUUUCCUUCGUUUGGAUCCAUUUCGAAAAUUGUACUCUAUGGCCCAAAAUGAAAGGCCCAUCGUCUAUUUACUCAAAUCCUAGCAAUAAUUUAUUCUCACUUAAAAUUUUAAACGUAUAUGGAAAGUCCACAAUGCUCGACCCAAAAUUAACUUAUAAAAAUACCAAACCAUAGUCUUGCCUAUUUGGUAGUUAAUUUGAGUCUCAAAGCCCGACCCCAAUUACAAGAACACUCUCUCAUGAGAGACCCCAUUAUAAGAACACAUUCUCAAAGUUUUUAACCACUCACAUUUUUUAUCCACUCUCCAACUAGAUAAUACAGAAGGAAUUUAAUUAGAGUAAUCACACUAAAACUUAAAAUGUUUAUAAGUGAGAAUUUCUAAAUAAAUGAAAUAGGUUUCUUUUAUAGUCUUUGAGUCAAACUUUUCUAUAAAAAAAAUGGAUGUGAGAUAACCACAUCUUGCCAAACCCAAUACUUAAAAACAAACAAAUCAAAUCAUUAUUUUUACAAAAAAAAAAAAAACUAAAAAAAUGCAAGUCGAUUCCUAUUUAUUAAAAUAAUAAAGAAAACCAGUUACCAAAAUAUGAAAUUUGUUUUUAAAAAAUCUACAUCUAAAGAUCUACCAUAUUCAUAAAUUAAUAAUUCUUGUGUGAUUUCACAUUGAGAUCAUAAAUAACUUAAAAUUACCAUGUCGAAGGAAAUUUUUUUCGACAAGAGCCUAACUUAUAAAGGAAUGAUGGAAAAUAAUAUGGUGCAACCUUCAAAACAACAUAAAUAAGAAAAUAUUGCAACAUAGUUAGCAAAUAAGAGAGAAAGAGAAUGUAACCUGAAAAGGAAGUUUAUGAUUAAUUUCAUAAUUGUUGUGGUUUUGUCCAUGAUCUCUUUAAUAUUUUCUAUUAUCUUCAUUGCACUCCUAGUAAUUGAUACCCUUAGGCAACCACGGCUCAACAUCCUUCUUACAAAAAAAAUAGGCAAAAGACGAGGGGGCUUGUAGAGGUUAAUAAAAAAAAGGGGCAGAAUAGUAAAGGAUAAUGAAAACACAAAGAAAUGUAAUUACAGGGCGAACUUUUUGUGGGAGAAAUGGUAGAAUAAUUUGUAGAAAUUUGAUCGUCUUUUUUAUGUGAAGAAGACAAGAAGAACAAAGGAUAACAUAAAAGCAAAUUAGAAAUUCGUGGAGUUAUUACGGGAAAAACUAGCUCUGAGAGAAAGCUUGAAGAGAGAAAAUAAAUGAAAGGUACUCUGAUUUUGUGGACAAUGGCAAUCCACAACUCUCUUGUACAUUAUUUAAAAUAGAAAAUAGAAACUAGAACAUGAACCCCAUUGAUAAAUAAACCGCUAGCCUAACAAAAACCGUAAACCCCGAAUCCCUAACCCCUAAACCCCUUUGCUAUAGUAAAUGGUAUUUAAAAAUCUCAAAUUAACUAUCUUAAACACUAUUUCAAAUCCUCAAUUUCCUAUAAUAUUUAUUAUUUACUACGAUAUUUGUUAAAUUAUUUUUUUGUGAAGUUACAAAACUAUACUUGUUGAAAUACUUUGAAAAUUAUUCAAAAGAGAUGGAAAAAAAAAAGAUGCAGUGGAAAAUACAUCCACGUAUAUUUUCACAAUUUCAAAAUUAAUUUGACUAAAUACAAUUUAAUUUAGUCAAACCCUAAACCCUAGACCCGUAAACCCCUAAACAAACUCUUUUGUGAAUGAUAUCUUUGCGCCUAUAGCUCCUUUGACCGGAGUUAUCCCCUUUCCUCUCAUACUCUACUAGACUCUAUAAACUCCUAAUACUAGGAUUUUCAUAAUUCGAGAUCCGAACAAGGAGUUAGCUAUUUUAGUCAACUCCCUUCCUUGCAAAUCUGGACCCAAACACCCCAACAUGGUAACAAACGACUAUAAAAAAAAAAAAAAGUAAUAUCCACAAAAAUAGACAUGGUCCAAAUUCGAAAAAUACCUGUUUCUUGGUGAUGGAAUGGAGGGUUUGAGAGUGAUUGUGGUGUCCCCAUAGUUAGCAACCAUAUUGGUGGAGAUCAAGUAUUUGGUGUAAGUUAACAGAAGGUAUGAAGUAGAUGUUACAUAUUGCAUAUUACUGUCGCUCAUUCUGAACAGCAACCCUCCUUCACAAAACGGUAGGGGGAAGGGGUUAAACUUCAUUUUCUUUUUACCAUUUUACCGAUAAUAAAAAUAAAAAAGUAGUCGUUGAUCAUCAAAAUAAAAAAAGACAUGGAGUGUAUUUGGGGCAGGAGAAUGAUUCUCCGAGAAUGAUAAAGCAAAUGGCGCUGUUGUUGGGGGUUCUUGGCACGGUGUAGGAACUUUAGUUGAACCUUGCUGAAACUUUUGUUAGUUAAACAAUUGAAAGCAUAUUUUUAUUUUUACAAUAAUAGCAGCCAUACACACAUAUAUAAUAAAAGUUUUACAUAUUCUUAUCUCUUGAAUUUAUCUUUUCUUAAAUAGUACCAUAUAGAAGAGAAAAUAUAAAAAGAUCGCAUGCUCCCUUUUCCUCUUCUUGCUUAUAGUUUUGCACGAUCUUUACUCUCUCCUUGGUUUUUGAUGCAUGUCUUCUGCUCUAAAUAACAUAGAAAAUUUUGAAGACAUGAUAUGAUUAAAUAAAGAAGAUUAAGAAGAAGAAGAAAGAAACUUAAAAGAUAAAUUAGUUUAGGGCAAAACAAUCUUCAAGAAGAUCCACCCUUAGAAACACAUACCUGAAACCGAAACUUGAAACAGAACCUUGAAACCUAAACCUUGAACCCCAACAAACGAACCACAAAACCCCAAACCUUCAAACCCCAAAACUCCUAAACCCAAAACUUGAAACUCCAAACGCUCCAUCCCGAUGCUCGAAAUCACGAACCUCGAACCGAUCCAUGCACCCUAAACCCCGAAACCUGAAACCCUAAAAUCCAAACCCCCAAACCCCAAAACUUCUAAACCCAAAAAACCUCAAAACCUCAAACGCUCCACCCCGGAGCCUGAAAUCACAAACCCCAAAUCGAUCCAUACAUCUUAAACCCCGAAACCUAAAACACGAAACCCUAAAUCCCUAAAAACCGUAAACCGUAAACAAUAAACCCUAAACUUUAGCCCCUAAACCAUAAACCCUAAAGUACCCCAAAACCACAAACCUCGAAAGCUCGAAAGCUCGAAAAGUCUAAACCUUGAAACCUAAAACCCCUAACCAACCCUCAAACCUCCAAACCCCCAACCCCCAAACCCAAAAACCUCGAAACCUGAAACUUGAAAACCGAAACGCUCUACCCUGAGACCUGAAAUCCAACGAACUCCCAUAACCCUGAAAACCCCUAAAAACCUAAAACCGUAAACCAUAAAUCCUAAAUUUUAACCCUUAAACCAUAAACCCUAAAGUAACCAAAGUACCAAACCACGAACCACGAACCCCGAACCCCAAACCACGAACCCUGAACCCCAAACCCCAAUCCCCAAUCUCGAAACUCGAACCCUAAAAUCCUAAACACUAAACCCUAAAGUACCUUUAACCUCAAACCCCAAACCCCGAACCUUGAACGUCGAACCUCCAACCUUGAACCCUGAAACGAAACCUAAAACCCAAAAACUACAAACCUCGAAACCCAACCCACAAACCUUCAAACCCAACCCCAAACCUUCCAACCCCAAACCUCCAAACCCCAAACCCAACCCUGAAAAUCGAUAUCUAAAACCUGUAAUCCUAACUUCAAACUUUGUUGGUGGAGAUAACAAUUUCUAUUAUUUAGGGAGUAUCUAUGCAUUUUGCAUUAUGGAUUGGUUAGAAAUUUUUAGUUUCUUAUUAUGAUUCGAAUUACAUGCAUUUUGGGUAUCAAACUUUGAUUAAUAUUGGUCAUCGUCUCAGAAUCUAAUAACACACAACCCUAUAACUCUAACCUAAACCCUAAACCCUGAAACCCCAAACGCUCCACCCUGAAUCCCAAAAUCACGAACACUGAACCAAUCCAUGCACCUUAAACCUCGAAACCUAAAACCCUAAACCCUAAACCCCUAAAAAACCGUAAACCAUAAAUCCUAAACUUUUAACCCCUAAACCGUAAAACCUAAAGUAACCCAACCACGCAACCCGAACCAACCCGAACCCAAAAUCCUAAAUAAUAAACCCUAAAGUACCCCAAACCCAAACCCCGAACCUCGAACCCGAACCUUGAACCCAGAACGUGAAACCUAUAAUCCCAAAACCACAAACUUCGAAACCUCGAAAAGUCUAAACCUUGAAACCCAAAACCUCUAUACCCAAACCCAAAACCUUCCAACCCUCAACCCCCCCAAACCCCAAAACCUCAAAACCUCGAAAAGUCUAAACCUCGAAACCCAACCCCAACCUCUCAAACCUUCCAACCCUUAACCCCUAAACCUUCCAACACCCAAACCUCCAAACUCCCAACCCACCACACAAAACCCUAAACACCAAAACUCAAAAUCUGAAACCUGAAAUCCUAACUUCAAACUUUGUUGGUGGAGAUAACAAUUUCUAUUAUUUAGGGAAUAUCUAUGUAUUUUGUAUUAUGGAUUGGUUUGAAAUUUUAAGUUUCUUAUUAUGAUUCGAAUUACAUGCAUUUUGGGUAUCAAACUUUAAUUAAUAUUGGUCAUCGUCUCGAAAUCUAAUAACACACAGCCUUAAAACUCUACCCUCAACCCUAAACCCUGAAACCCCAAACGCACCACCCCAAAGCCCAAAAUCACGAACCUCGAACCAGUUCAUGCACCCUAAACCCAAAAAUUGAAACCGUAAAUCCCAAAUCCUCUAAACCCCUAAACUCCUAAACCUCAAAACUCCUAAAUCCGAAAUCCGAAACCUGUAAUCCUAACUUCAAACUUUUUUUGGUGGAGAUAAAAAUUUUUAUUAUUUAGGGAAUAUUCAUGGAUUUAGUUUGAAAUAUUGAGUUUUUUAUUAUGAUUCGAAUUACAUGCAUUUUGGGUAUCAAACUGUUGUUUAAUAUUGGUCAUCGUCUCAGAAUCUAAUAACACCCAGCCCUAUAACUCUAACCUAAACCCCAAACACUCCACCCAAAUCUCGAAAUCACGAACCCCGAACCGAUCCAUGCACCCUAAACCAGAAAUCUGAAAUCGCAAACCAUAAAUCCUAAACUUUAACCCCUAAAUCAUACACCCCAAAGUACCCCAAACCUCAAACCACGAACCCCAAACCUCAAUCCCGAAACUGGAACCCAAAGUCCUAAACACUAAACCCUAAAUACCCCUAACCCUGAACCCUAAACCUCGAACCUCGAACCUCGAACCUUGAACCUGAAACCCUGAAGCCAAAACCACCAACCUCGAAACCUCGAAAAGUCCAAACCUCGAAACCCAAACCGCAAACCUUCCAACCCUCAAACCCCAACCCCAACCCCAACCCAAACUCCAAAACCCCAAACCUCAAAAGUUCGAAAACCUAAACCUCGAAACCCAACCCCUACCUCUCAAACCAUCAAACCCUAAACCCUAAACCCUAAACCCUAAACCCAAAACCACAAAACCCCAAAACGACCAAACAAUCCUUAAGUGUAAGUUCGUAACUCACAAACUAACAAAAAGUUCAAAAUGUGUGAAAAUGCACUUUGAGACCUAAAAUGGCAACCAAGUAUGCAAGUGAAACAAACCUAGUCUUAAACAAAUCUAAAAUUUGUUCAAACUAUGUUUAAGUAUCACUUGAACUUUCAGAACGACCUAAGAACGUUUACUUGUAAGUUUGUCACUCAUAACCUACCAAAAAAUUCAAAAAGUACGGAAAAGAAAAAAACACUACAGGACCCAAAAUGGCAACCAAGUGUGCAAGUGCAACAAACUUAGUUCCAAACGAACCUAAAAAGUGGUCAAGGCGUGUCUAAGUAUUACUUGGACUUUCAAAACGACCUAACAAAGCUUAAGUGUAAGUUGGUAACCCAUAGCCUACCAAAAAGUUCAAAAAGUGUGAAAAGGGCACUUCAAGACCCAAAAUGGCAACCAGGUGGGUAAGGUCAACAAACUUAGUUUCAAACCAACCUACAACGAGUUCAAAACGUGUCUCAGUAUCACUUGAACUUUUAAAACGACCUAAAAAUCUUACGUGUAGGUUCGUAACUCAUAACCUACCAAAAAAGUUCAACUAGUGUGAAAAAAGCACUACAAGACCCAAAAUGGCAACCAAGUGUGCAAGUGCAAUAAACUUAGUGCAAACCAAGCUAAAACGUGCUCAAAACGUGUCUAGGUAUUACUUGAGUUUUCAAAAUGACCUAGCAAAUCCUAAGUGUAAGUUUGUAACUCAUAAUCUACCAAAAAGGUUGAAAAAAGAAUUUCAAGAACAAAAAUGACAACCAAGUGUGUAAGUGCAACAAACGCAAUCUAGCCUAAAAUGUAAUCAAAAUGUGUGUAAGCAUCACUUGAAUUUUCAAAACGACCAAACAAUGCUUAAAAUGUAAGUUUGUAACUCACAACCUACCAAAAUUUCAAAAAGUGUGAAAAAAGUACUUCAAGACCCAAAACGGAAACGAAGUAUCUAAGUGCAACGAACUUAGUUUCAAGCCAUCCUAAAAAGAGGUCAAAACGUGUCUAAGCUUUCAAACCGACCAAACAAUACUCAAGCGUAAGUUCGUAACUCACAACCUACAAAAAUUUCAAAAAGUGUGAAAAAAAAGCACUUCAAGACCCAACAUGUCAACCAAAUGUGUAACAAACAUAGUUCCAAACAAACACAAAAUGUGUUUAAAAGGACCUAACAAUGCUUAAGUGUAAGUUCGUAACUCAUAAACUAACAAAAAGUUCAAAAUGCUUGUGAAACAAGUAUGCAAGUGAAACAAACUUAGUCUUAAACAAAUCUAAAAAAUUUCAACGUGUUUAAGUAUCACUUGAACUUUCAGAACAACCUAAGAAUGUUUAUUUGUAAGUUCGUCACUCAUAACCUACCAAAAAGUUCAAAAAGUAUGGAAAAAAAAAACACUCGAGGAUCCAAAAUGGCAACCAAGUGUGCAAGUGCAACAAACUUAGUUCCAAACCAACCUAAAAAGUGGUCAAGGCGUGUCUAAGUAUCACUUGGACUUUCAAAACGAUCUAAGAAAGCUUAAGUGUAAUUUGGUAACCCAUAGCCUACCAAAAAGUUCAAAAAGUGUGAAAACAGCACGUCAAGACCCAAAAUGGCAACCAAGUGGGUAGGUCAAUAAACUUAGUUUCAAACCAACCUAAAACGAGUUCAAAACGUGUCUAAGUAUCACUUGAACUUUCAAAAGGAUCUAAAAAAGCUUAUGUGUAGGUUCGUAACUAAUAAGCUACCAAAAAGUUCAAAAAGUGUGAAAAGAGCACUUGAAGACCCAAAAUGACAACCAAGUAUGUAAGUGCAACAAACUCAAUCUAACCUAAAAUGUAUUCAAAACGUGUGUAAGUAUCACUUGAACUUUCAAAACGACCAAACAAUGCUUAAGUAUAAGUUUGUAACUCACAAAGCCUACCAAAAUUUCAAAAAGUGUGAAAAAAGCACUUCCAUGACCCAAAAUGGCAACCAAGUGCACAAGUGCAACAAACUUAGUUCCAAACCAACCUAAAAAGUGAUCAAGGUGUGUCGAAGUAUCACUUGGACUUUGAAAACAAUCUAGCAAAGCUUAAGUGUAAGUUGGUAAUGAUAGAACUAAGACAUGCACAGCAGAAAAAAGAAUCGAAUUUCUACCCUAAUUGCCACAAUUAACAUGUAACCCUAAACUAAUCAAGUUAGGGUUUUAGGAAAUAUUACCUUUGAAGCUUUCAAAAAACUUUGAUACCUUCUUGUCAAUUCAAACCGAGACCACCACUAGUACUCAACUACUAUUCUCUUGGACAAAGAACCGGGUUGUGGGACCCAAUUUGGUGUAGAAAGAAAUGAAGAUAAAAUGGAAUUGGAAGGUAGAAAUUUUUUUCUUUUGUUGAGAUGUUGGAGGAUAAUAAAAAAGGCAAAAGUCUUCAACAAUUUGAAAACUCCCCUAUUAUCCUAAUUACAUGCAAAAAUGCAUGUAGUUAAUUUGCCAAAUCUCAACACCUAAUGUUCCACUAACAAUUAGUGGAACUUAGUGGGCUAGGUGUCUAUAUCUAUAGCCACAUAUCCCACUAAGAGUUAGUGGGAUUAUCCAACAAAAAUGUUGGAUUUUGUCACUAACUUAGUCCAAGGGUAAAAUGGUCAUUAAAUAUUUCAAGUCAAAAGUCAAACUUUGACUUUUCUUAGUCAAAAGUCAACAUUUUGACUUUUUACUAUUUUUGACUAAUUCCAUCAAUUCCGAGCUUCUUAGUAUGAAUCCGCAUUCAUACUUAUAGUAUGUAAAACAUAAAGCUCUAUUUCUAAUUAGAAAGCUCUAUUUCUAAUUAGAAGACCGACAACUAUAUCACUAUAUUUGUCGGUUUCUCUUUCUUCUUCCAAUUCGAACAAUUCGAUUUAUUUCAUCACACUGUUCUAAGUUUAAUCCAUAUGAGCUAGCAGGGGAACCUAAUGGACCUAUAGAUCAUGGCCUCCAACGAUUCAAGAUUAACUAGCCAAACUCUUUUAGACCGAGUUAAUCAACAUUCGUUAACUAACGGGUCAUUCCACUAAAGUCCCGUAGUUGCACUCCCCUCACUAUAGAUAUAUGUGUGUCCAUUUGAUAAAACCAUAAUCAGUAAGUUAAUCCUUCACAGGUUGCUCGUAACCUUGGCUGGGUCAAAAAUACCGUUUUACCCCCCAAGAUUACAUUUUGGCUUCUUAAGUCCCACUAAUCCACUAUUGAACAAUUGGUUUAAGGUUCAACCUAUAAACUUAAUCCCUCUCGCGGCGCAAUGAGAGGGUGGGGGCCCCUUGUUCAAGACUUGGAUUCAGUGCUUAAGAGAACAACCUAUCUACUAAACCUAAAGCGGGUAGGAGUGAAUUCCAUCUUGUACCCUAUGUUCCCAGUUAUCCACUAGAUCUUACCCCUGAAAUGGGAGGCUUAUUGGGUCAACCCUGAUGAGCUGCCCUCAUCUAUGCAGAUCUAAGGAUAAUCUCGUGUGAACAGGAGUUCAUAGUUAACUCAGAAUUAAGAUUAAGUUACCUAGGUCAUCAAUAAUCGAGAUAGUCAGUUUUAAACAGUAAACGGUGUUAUAACGUAAAAAAGACUAAUUCAUGGUUUAGUCUUAUGUAAACACUUUACAUAGGAUGCCCCCACUUUCAUGUCUCUACAUGAACGAUUCAGGAUCACCUCGUUUGUACUACAAAGUGGGCCGCAUCCAUAGUUUCUCUAAAUAAGGCGCCCAACCUUUAUUCAUAUACUAUAGACUAUUUAGGCUAUAUAUACUCGAACUUGAUCCACGUUUAUAUUUACACAUAAAGUUCAAGUUUAUUCAAAAAAUAGCCUUGGAACUUGAUUUAUUGGAUUUAGGAUUAUUUAAUUUCUCAAUAACAACUUUAUUGAAACAAAAUAUGAUUACAAACUACGAGUUUUAGGACAAAAAAUUCCAACAGGUAACUCAUAGCCUACCAAAAAGUUCAAAAAGUGUGAAAAGAGCACUUUAAGACCAAAAUGACAACCAAGUGAGUAAGGUCAACAAACUUAGUUUCAAACCAACCUAAAACAAGUUCAAAACGUGUCUAAGUAUCACUUGAAUUUUCAAAACGACCUAAGAAAGCUUACGUGUAGGUUCGUAACUCAUAAGCUACCAAAAAGUUCAAAAAGUGUGAAAAGAGCACUUCAAGAUGACAACCAAGUGUGUAAGUGCAACAAACUUAGUAUCAAACCAACCUAAAACGUGCUCAAAACGUGUCUAGGUAUUACUUGAGUUUUUAAAACGACCUAGCAACUCUUAAGUUCUUCUGCCUUCUCCUUCAACGCUUAGACAGAUUGUUGAAAUUCUGUGUUUCUGCAAUGUUUCCCAGAACAUGAAACAUUCGUUACAGAAAUAAAUACCAUGAAUACAAACCGUGAAGAAACAGUAAAAAACAGUCAAUACAAGAAGCAAGUGGAAACUCAGAAGUUUCAUAUUUCAUCAGGAUGAUUUUCAUUCUGAUUGUCUAAUAUUCAACUCUAAUUACAUAAGGUGCAUUAGUGUGUAAGCAAAGACGGAAACAAAAGAAACAUAACUCACAUUACCGCCUUCUCUAAUUGAUCCAUUUGCAUCACGUAUGCAGUAGACCUGUUGCGUUUGGAACUGUUGAAAUUCAAUAAAAAGGAGUUAACAUCAUCUCAUCCUACAAAACAAAAUCCACAACUAUAGAAUAAAGAUUGUCAGAGCAUACAACUACAAUGAUAAUGGGAGUGCUUCCCAUCAUCUUGGUCUCUCGCACCUCAACAUCUGAAAUGUGCAGAAUCUGUUUAUUAUAACAGAAAUAAUUACUUUUAAGUCAUAGAAAAAAGCCUUACAUUAAUUAGAAUACCAUCCACCUAUCAAGGUGUGUACAGACCUCAAACAAUAGCCAAAGCACAAGGGGUGUGUUUAAUGCAAUUAUGAACCCUUCAAUAUAAAAAAAAUGAUUAAUAAUAAAAUACUCAGAUGUUUUCUUUCACUCUCGUACUAUUGUUUAAGUGCUUCUUGGUCAAGCACCUAGACCAAAAGGCUAUCUAUGAGCGUUUUCUAGUUUCUGAAAAAAGAAAUACUCUAAUGUGUGGUCGUACUAGCAUAAACAGUCGUAGAUAAUUAUGAGAUGAUACCCUUCGUAAUGGGAUAAGAUAAUACUUACUAUUAUUUAGUAUUUUCUUUUAUUUAAUUGAAGAAAUAAUUGGAAAAUAAAACAGAAAGUACAAAAAUGAGUAAUAACCCCUAGUAGAGACCAAUACGAUUCAAUUCAACAUUUUGUUUGGUCUCUCGACAUGAUGAUAAUUUUUACCUAGAGUGCUUUUGCUUUACCUAGAGUGCUUCUAGGCCAUAAUGCAAUUAUUAACACGUGACAGAGUUCCCACAUAUGACUUUAUUCUCUCAUUGUUGCCCAUUAUGUAAAGUUGUCGAUGAAACACCAGCCAGUUUAUUAGUUGCCAUUUUGCUGAAAAAUUUAGGAAGCAGAUCUAUCUCUCCUUUGGUUAAUGCCACCCUAUGAAACAAAUAUUAUGAACCUUCUUUUAUGCACCCUCACUGGCACUCUUUACUGACUUUAAAAGAAUUAUGUGGAUGCAUCUUAUUCGGAAAUUUUUACAAAUUCGCAUGGAAGGAACAUGAACAAUCGCCUCCUUAGUGAAAAGGCAUGCCUUAAGAUAGGUUUUUUAUUCUUUUUAAAAUAUAAUCUAUCCUGCUAUGACUUAGUGCAAUUUUUCAUGUCUCUAUAGCUAUUCCAAUCUCUAUUCUUGCAUCUCUUCUGACUGAUUGGAGAAAUCUCUUGUAAACUCUAUUGGCGUGGGUGUUCCACCAAACCUUUUGUAAAUUUCAUACAUCAAUAAAAUUACUUCUUAUAAAAAAAAAAUAAGGGGAAGAAACUACGUUUUAGAGACAGAUGGCUCUAAAGCACAUACAAACAAUCUCCAUCUCACUCUCUAUCUGCCCUGUUUCCAAUUUAAUCCGACAUUCAUUUGAGGUUAUUGUAGGUUCAUAUUUAGAAAUAGUCAUUCAUGUUGUGAUGCAAAAUCCUUUUUAUGUAUCUAAAACUAAAAUCACGAAAAUCAUCGUGGACAUGCAGCACAACAAACUAAAUUUUCACGGGAAGCCUUUGCUAACAAAAUCAUAGACAAUAAUUACUCAAACAAGAGAGAAAGACUAUAAUUAAUUAACAGAAGUACAAAUCAAUAUAGGUGCACAACCACCAAGCAAGAGAGAAGAAACAAUAAACUUCAAUAACAAAAGAAAGGUAGUAUCAGGACUAUCCUUACUUGUUAUCGAAGAAGAUACCUUGGCCCUGGUAAGCCCGAUACUCUUCCAUACAACGUUCAAUUACCUCAGUACUACAGCGUUUUUUUCAAAGUUUGGGAAUCUACCUAAAACAUAAAUAUAUAUUACAACUUGAAAACCUCCAUGUCAGAAACUUUACUUUAAUUAUCAAACCAGAUGCUAUGCAAGAAUUAGUUAGCAGAAAUACAACAUAAAUAGUAAUGAUAUUCUUUGGGGAGGGGAUAAAAGCAUCUUUCAUCUUAGAAAUAAGCUUAGCAGUUAGCAUUAACCUUUAUAUUUUGAUUACGUCUUAAACUUCAUCUACAAAAUCUGGUAAACAGAAAGACCUAAUCCAUAAUGCUAAAGAGGAAAAGACCAAGUCAGAUUCCUUUAUUCAAACAGGUUAGUAUCACAGCUCCAAAAGGAAAAAACUUACGGAUCUCUACGACGAAUUCCUUGAAUGAUGUAGCAGCAUCUGAUGCUUGAAACACGGUUUCAUUUAUGUUGUGAAAAAUAAGAUCGAUAAAUAAAACUUUUGGCUACAAUUAGCCACAGAAACAUAAAGUUGUGACAGGAAAAUAAAAGCUAACAGAUAAUUAACUAUACAGUUUGUAGGCAAAAUACCAAAUAGCCCAUAAUCAAGAUCACAACUCAAGCAGACAAUAAUGUGUAGUUUAUCAUUUCCAACCAAAUAAUUCAAUAAUACAUAAGGUCAAAUGGCCAAAUAAUAUGGCCUUUCACAUAAAUACUUGCUCCCUGAAUAUUUUGAACGAUAAUGUUAUCGUUUCUCUCCCACGUUUCACGAAGGUGUUGGAAUUUUUUGUCCUAAAACUCGUAGUUUGUAAAUCAUAUUCUGUUCAAUAAAGUUGUUAUUGAGAAAUUAAAUAUUAUAAUCUUAAAUCCAAUAAAUCAAGUUCCAAGACUAUUUUUGAAUAAACUUGAACUUUAUGUGUAAACAUAAACGUGGAUCAAGUUCGAGUAUAUAGCCUAAAUAGUCUAUAGUAUAUGAAAUAAAGGUUGGGCGCCUUAUUUAGAGAAACUAUGGAUGCGGCCCACUUUGUAGUACAAACGAGGUGAUCCUAAUCGUUCAUGUAGAGACAUGAAAGUGGGGACAUCCUAUGUAAAAUGUUUACAUAAGACUGAAUCAUGAAUUAGUCUUUUUUACGUUAUAACACCGUUUAUUGUUUAAAAUUGACUAUCUCAAUUAUUGAUGACCUUGGUAACUUAGUCUUAAUCCUGAGUUAACUAUGAAUUCCUGAUCACACGAGAUUAUCCUUAGAUCUGCAUAGGUGACGGUAGCUCAUCAGCGUUGGCCCAAAAGCCUCCCAUUUCAGGGGUAAGAUCGGGUGGAUAGCUGGGCACAUAGGGUACAAGAUGAAAUUCACUCCUACCCGCUUUAGGGUUAGUAAAUAGGUUGUUCUCUUAAGCACUGAAUCCAAGUCUUGAACAAGGGGCCCCACCCUCUCAUUGGCCCGAGAGGGAUUAAGUUUAUAGGUUCAACCUUAAACCAAUUGUUCAAUAGUGGAUUAGUGGGACUUAAGGAGGAAGAUGUAAUCUUGGGGGUAAAACGGUAUUUUGACCCAGCCAAGGUUACGAGCAACCUGUGAAGGAUUAACUUACUGAUUAUGGUUUUAUCAAAUGGACACAAAUAUAUCUAUAGUGAGGGGAGUGCAACUACGGGACUUUAGUGGAAUGACCCGUUAGUUAACGAAUGUUGAUUAACUCGGUUUAAAAGAGUUUAGCUAGUUAAUCUUGAAUCGUUUGAGCCCAUGAUCUAUAGGUCCAUUAGGUUCCUCUGCUAGCUCAUAUGGAUUAAACUUAGAACAGUGUGAUGAAAUAAGUCGAAUUGUUCGAAUUGGGAGAAGAAAGGGAAACCGACAAAUAUAGUGAUAUAGUCGUCGGUCUUCUAAUUAGAAAUAGAGCUUUAUGUUUUACAUACUAUAAGUAUGAAUGCGGAUUCAUACUAAGAAGCUCGGAAUUGAAGAAAUUGGUCAAAAAUAGUAAAAAGUCAAAAUAGUAAACUUUUGGCUUU